CUCAGAAUUCCCUAAGCUCCAUCCAGAUAGACUGGCUGCAUCCGUCAAAGCGUCUCUGAAGCUCUGCACUUCUUCCAACGUCAGAGCUUUCUUCUUUAUAAGUCUAGCAAAUGCAUCCCCAAAGCUUCCUGCUUGAUUUCUUACAUGGGAUGGAUCCACCUGGUAGAAUACCGGAAUAACUAUCUGUCCAUUGUUUUUUCUACACUCAAAAAUCUUUGCAAGCUCCUCCAAGCACCAUUUGGAAGAUGCAUAGUUUUCAGAAAAAACAAUCACAGAAAGCUUGGCCUCUUCAAUUGUUCUCAGAAGUGAUUCCGAAAUCUCAUCUCCUCUCACAUGCUGAUAAUCUACGAAAGUUAGGAUUUGUUUCCGGUUCAAAGCAGCAUGGAGGUUGCUGGUAAAACCAACACGAGUUUCUUCUCCUCUGAAACUAAGGAAGACAUCAUAUUUAAUUCCUUGUGGCUGGGCGGUGGUUAAGGUGGAAGGAGUAGAUGGUGAUGGAGACAUCAUAUUGUUUUGUGGAGAAACAGUCGAAGAAACAAGAGUAGAUGGCGAUGGAGAAACAUGGCGGCUUCGUAUGAUCAAUCUCCAGAUAUAAACAAACAAAAAGAUAUUGAGAAACAAUAAAAAUACCACCAUUGUUUUGUGGAGAAACAAGAGUAGGACUCUGGUGGUAAGGUAGGUCUGGAGGGAGAGAGCGGAAGUAACUCAAGGAAAAAAGAUGAGGCUGAUUUUGAAUCAGUAGCUUAGGCUUUACGUGUUUAAGACCCUGCCUUAGGCAUAUGUAUCAUUUAUAGGCAUCAAAUCCAAGAAUUUUCUUAGAACAUUACAAGAUUGCACAUUGUUGAUUUCCUAGAAAUUCCCCAGUUACAAAGUGAUGUGAUAGGAAAAGGCAUUUAUACUUUGUUUUGUUUUUAUGGUAUUCACAGUAUUUUUAUAAAUUUUGAUUUUUUUUAAUUAAUUUUUUUAGUUUUUAUUUUAUUUUAAUUUACUGAUAUAAAAAUAAUUUUUAAAAAUCAAAAGCAUAUAUAUUCUUGUUCAUCAUAUCACAGCUGUGAUAGAUGCCUUUUUUAAUAUUUCAAAUGUAUUAGCUAUUCACUUCGCGGAGUAGCAGAUCUUUUGUUAUUUUUUCUUCAACUUUUUUAUUUUAUAUUUUCUUUAAACAGUAAACACUUCUGUCCCACAUCAUUCUUUAAGGACAUUAACUAGUAUAUCGGCAUACAAUUCACAACAGGGUUAAUAUUAAUUUUUUAAAAAUUAGAAAAUAUUACAAGUGUUUAGCAAUAUCUAAAUGUUCCUGGAAAUUAUUUCUUGUAUUUGUUUUCUAAGGAACGGUUGCUUUGAUAUAUUUUUUUCAAAAUAAAAAUAACAUUUUGAUGUAUUUUUUCAAAAAUAUAUUUUAAAAAACAACUGUUACUGCACUCCUAAACACCCUCCUAAAAAAAAGUAUGUGAAAAAAAAACAUUAUAGCAAUUCACAAUAAUUUACGAAGAAAAUUAUAGUGCUUCCCCACAUGAUUUAGCCAUAUUUAUAAUUACUUGUAAUUGUAAUUAUCAAACAACUUAAUAUUAAAAAAAUAAAAUUGACAAAGAUAAUAUUAAAAAAAUUAUAAGAAAGAAAAACCAUGUGGAGAGACAUUGUAACAAUCCACGAUAUUUUGUGAGGAAAGAUACAGUGAUUUCCCACAUGAUUAAGGUUUAUUACAAAGUUAAAUUAUAACCAACUUAAUAUGAAGAAAAAAAAAUUAACGAAGAUAAUUUUGGAAAAAAAAUAUUACAAAAAAAAAAAGAAAACACAAAAGAAAUUGGAAAAAAAAAUAUGAGGAAAAACUGUAUCAAUCUAUAGUGUUUUGUGAGGAAAAACUUGUAUUUACUUGUAAUUGCAAGUCUUAACCAGCUUAAUAUUUAAAAAAUAAAAUUAACAAAGAUAAUUUUAGGGAAAAAAUAACAAAACGGAAAAAAACUAUAUGAAAUAAAACAUUGUAGCAAUCCAUAGUAAUUUGCGAAGAAAGUUAUAGUGUUUUCCUCCCAUAUUGUAACUGUAAUUUUUAACCAGCUCAAUAUUAAAAAAUAAAAUAAAAUAAAAAAAGAUAAUUUCAGAGAAAAUAAAAAAAAACAUAUGGAGAAACACUAGCAAUUAAUAAUGUUUUAAAGAAAAAAAUUACAAAACUAAAUUUUUAAUCAGCUUAAUAUUAAAAAAAUAAAAAUAUAUAAUUUUAAAAAACAAAAUAAAAAACUAUGUAAAAAAACACCACAUCAAUUCAAAAUAUUUUAAAAAAUGAAAUUUAAAGUGAAAUUUUUAAUCAGUUAAAUAUUAAAAAAAUAGAAUUAAUUCAAAAUUACACACAAUCUAUUCAAAUAAACCGGUAGAUGCCUUUUCCUUUUUCCUUUUAUAUAUAUUUAUUUAUUGUGAAGAAGAAGAAGAAAAAGAAGUCGUCUUGAAGGAGAGACGAAGGGACUGGGGAUCGAUGGGGCCAAUCCUCUGGGACGACGACUUGACCUUAAGUACUCUUCCUGGUGAGUGCUAGGGCAGCGUGUUCGGGAAGCUGAGUUUGGAAAUUACGUGUUUGUUUUUACAUGCUUCUUUCCAGCUCAUUACACACAAUCUAUCCAAAUAAAUCGGCAGAUGCCUUUUUCUUUUUCCUUUUAAAGGGAUCAUCGGCCGUCGGUGUUGUUGGAACAUAAACAAUCGAACAUUGGAAGAAAUAAAUAAUUUCCCCAUGCUUAAAUUAAGGCUACUAUUCUUUUGAACUCCGGCCAAACAUGACAGGGCUUUAGUAAAAUGCCUUUUUUCUUCUUCUUCCUCUGUCUUUUGCAGAAAAGAUUGAGAAGUUUAUACACACACCUAUAUACACCUAUAUACGUAUAUAGGUGUGUGUGUAAAUAUAUAUAAGGAAAAAGGAAAAAGGUAUAUAUUGGUGUGUGUGUGUGUAUAAAAGGAAAAAGGAAAAGGCACAUGGCAACUUUAUUAUAAUUAAUGGAUCGAGUAAAAUGUACAAGUUUCUUCGUAUAAUUUUAUUUUUUUCAAAUAGAAUAUUAAUUCGGAACUAAAAACAAUUAAAAAUUUCCAAAAUAUCCAUUUUAAACUGGGAUGAACCCCAGAAAAUAUUCGACUUUUAUCCAUAGUUUUAAAACCCGACCUGGUGGUCGACCCGGUCUUAUGACCGGGUCACGGGUCAGAUGGGUUGACCCGGGCUGACCCGGGUCAACCCAAAAAAAUCUAAUAAAAACUUCAAUAAAUACAAUUCCCCUCUUAUCCCUCUUUCUCAUCAAUCCACUUUUCAACUUUCAAAUUGCUUUCCAGCUUUCAAUCCACUUUCCAGCUUUUCAAUCGCAAAUAAACGUUCUUUUUUAAUCACCAGCAAAUAGGCAUUCUCUUUAAAUUGAGAAUUGAGAACACAUGGGCAUCAGAACAGAAAACAACAACAAUCAUGCAUCAACGACAACGCUGAUAUUCACGCACAAAACUUUGAAGAGGGGCUUUUCAAAUCAUGUCUUGAUGCAGGAUCUGAUCAAAAUCGGGUAUGCUGUCUUCAAUGGAAUCUACAUGAACGAGCAGGGAUCACUAAAAAGAGGAUGUCGUGUUUGGGGUGGAGGUGUAUUACGGGCAGUCGGGCAUAGGAGCUAUGCGAUUGAAAUUGCUUUUUCUUGUUAUCUUUAUCUGCAAUUUUGCAUCCUUCAUCCUUUAUCUGCAUAGUUUUGACUUUAAAUGGCCAAAACGAACGACGUCGUUUCGGACUCUGUAUGUAUAAAAAAACAAAGAGGCCGGGUCUCAGUCGGGUUUGUCCGGGUCGCCGGGUUCCGGGGGUCGACCGGGUUUCACCGGGCCAAUUCCUCGGCGGGUUUUUACUUAGACCCGGACCGGUCCUAGGCCCGGGUCGGCCGGGUCCCGGGUCGACCCGCCGGGCCGGUCCGGGUUUCAAAACUAUGCUUUUAUCCCCCCCUGCUGUCUAAUGUAAAAGACGGGUGUUUUUUUUCACUUGUCACGCUCCCCUGCAUCACCGGCUCAUGGAGGUAAAAAUCUUACGUCACAGCGACAUCAUCUUGUCCCCUGCAUUUUGUCCUCAGCUGGAAGACACGUGCAAAAAAGAGAGAGGUGAUCUAAAGUCAUUGUUGCGGACAAGCAGCAACCAGGAAGCAAUCCACUUGCCCCGGUGUCGUUUCACAAACAGUCAGUCAAAUUCACAGUCAAGGCAGAUGAUAAGGCUUUUGUAAAAUUUUGAGGUGGAUGGCAAUGAUGAUGUCUCAGACUUCAGAAAAUACAACAUUAAAAGAAGCAAAAACCUUAUCAUGAAAUUCGUUUUCCGGCCCUGAAUAAUAAUCAACAGUCAUGGCAUUGUUGAUCAUCGAAAGCCACCGUUAAGAUAAGAAAUGCGUAAUUUCAAGGAAAUAGAUUGCAGUCAAUCCAAGAGGUGGCAAGAAAAAGAGACCCAUCCAGUCAAAUUUUGCUUCCUUCCAGCUCCUUCCUGAAUAAUAAUAUAUUUUUUAAUAUUUAUAUGUAUUAAUGUUAAAAAUAAUUUUAAAAAAAUAAAAAAUAUUAUAUUUUUUUUAAUAAGAAAAACAAGAACUCCCUAUUACACUUACAGAAGAAACAUUCCAUGUAUUCAAUCCAAGUGUUUGCGCGUGUCGAGGACUUUUUUUGCCUCUCAAUAAUUAGUGUUAUUUGUAUUAUAACUUUUUUAAUAUUUCAAAUGGAUGAGCUUUUCCCUUGACUUGGCGUAUUAGCAGCUUUAGGAUCUUUUGUUAUUUUCUCUUCCUUUUUUAUUAUAUAUUUUCUUCACACAGUAUAUCGGCCUGCGAUUCACAUAUUCAGUUAAUAUUAAUCUUUUUAAAAUUAAAAUAGCAGAAGAACUUAUUAGAAAAUCUGUUUAAUAUUGUGGUAAUUAUUUUUUAAAAAAUAUUUUUUAAAAAAAAAAUACAUUAUAUUAAAAUAAUAUAUUUUUAUUUUUAAAAUUUUAUUUUUGACAUUAACACAUCAAAAUAAUAUAAAAAUAAAAAAUAAUAAUUUAAAAUAAAAAAAAUAAAAAAACUCAAAUCCAAAUAUUUUCUUACUACAUUACAGAUGGUUCACAUUUUCCUAGAAAUUUUCAUUAACCACAAAAAGCUUCAUGUCUUGUUAUUAUUAUUAUUAUUUUGUAAUUUGGUAGGGAAGGGCUUCAAGCCUUCCAUCCAAGUGUUUGCGCGUAAACUUUGUUGAGUUUCACAUUAUAUUAUAAUGGUAAAAAAAAACAAUUAUAUAUGAGUGUCCUCUCCCCUGAAACUAAGGUAGACAUCAUAAUUAAUUCCCUGUGGCUGGGCGGUGGUUAUGGUGGAAGGAGUAGAUGGGGAUGGAGAAAUAUGACGGAUUCGUAUGAUGAAUCUCCAGAUAUAAGCAAACAAAAAGAUAGAGAGAAACAAGAAAAACAUCGCCAUUGUUUUGUGGAGAAACAGUCGAAGAAACAAGAGUAAUUAGACUCUGGUGGUAAGGUAGGUCUGGAGGGAGAGAACGGAAGGAACUCAAGGAAAAAAGAUGAGGCUGAUUUUGAAUGAGUAGCUUAGGCUUUACGUGUUUAAGAACCUGCCUUAGGCAUAUGUAUAAUUUAUAAUAAUCAAAUCCAAGAAUUUUCUUAGAACAUUACAAGAUUGCACAUUGUUGAUUUCCUAAAAAAGAUUAGGCAUGUGAUAGAAAAAGGCAUUUAUAUGUUGUUUUGUUUUUAUGGUAUUCCCAGUGUUUUCAUAAAUUCUGAAUUUAAAAAUAAUAAAUUUUUUUAGUUUUUUUAUUAUUUAAUUUACUGGUAUAAAAAUAAUUUUUAAAAAUUAUAAGCUUAUAUAAAUUCUUGUUUAUCAUAUCACAGCUGUGAUAGAUAACUUUUUAAAUAUUUCAAAUGUAUUAGGUCUUCACUUGGCGGAGUAGCAUAUCUUUUGUUAUUUUCUCUUCGACUUUUUUAUUAUAUAUUUUUUAAAAACACUAAACACUUAUGUAUCUUCGGUCCAAGUAUUUUCCUUCCAGAGAUUUUUUUUUUUGCCUUCAUAUUAUAUUAUAAUGGUUAUGAUGAUUUAAUUAAAAAGAACCUGAUAGAAAGUCUGUUUGAUAAUGUACUUGAUUGUUUUUAAAAUAUUAGAAUUACAUUAAAAUAUUAGAAAUACUUGGUUGUUUUGUAAAAAAUUUUUAAUUAGAAAUAUAUUAAAAUAAUAUUUUUUUAUUUUUUAAAAUUUAUUUUUGAUAUUAGAAAAUUAAAAUAAUAUAAUUAAAAUAUAAAAAAAUUAAUUUAAAAUAAACAAAAAAAAUUCAAAUUCAAGCAUUUUCUCAUAGCAUUACAAAAAGUGCACAAUGUUAGAGAACCUGUUUGGUAUAGUGAUAAUAGUUAUUUUUUAAAAUAAUUUUUAUUUAAAAAUAUAUUAAAAUAUUUUUUUAUUUUUUAAAAUUUAUUUUUGAUAUUAGUAUAUUAAAAUAAUAUAAUAAUAUAAAAAUUAAUUUAAAAUAAAAAAAAUCAAAUCCAUGUAUUUUCUCGAACGUUACAAAGGGUGCAAAUCUACUUGGAAAUGUGUAAAGGAUUAAUGUCUUUUCCUUUUUAGAUGUCUUUUCCUUUUUCCGCGUUCCCAAACAGUGUCCCGCAGAUGCCUUUUCCUUUUGCCUUUUUUUAUCGGCAGAUGCCUUUUCCUUUUUAGAUAUUCUUAAAACAAAGUUCUUAAAACUAACAUUUUCAUAACAGGAAAAAGGAAAAGGAAAAGGCAUCUGUGUGUGUAAUUUCAAGGAAAAAAGAAAAAGGAAACACGUAAUUUAAAGGAUUGGCCCAUACCCCGUCCCUUCCUCUCUCCUUCAAGACGACUUGUGUACAGUGAUAAAAGUUAAAGGAAAAAGGAAAAGGCAUUUGCUAGAUUUUUGAGCGUAGAAAAAAUAAUGGACAGAUAGUUAUUUUUUACCAGGUGGAUCCAUCCCAUGUAAGACAUAAAACAGGAAGCUUUGGAGAUGCAUUUGCUAGAUUGAUUAAGAAGAAAGCUCUGACGUUGGAAGAAGUGCAGAGCUUCAGAGACGCUUUGACGGAUGCAGCCAAUCUAUCUGGAUCGAGCUUAGGGAAGUCUGAGUAAGCUCUUGAAGAAUAGUAGCCGUAAUUUAAGCAUGGGGAAAUUAUUUAUUUCCUCCAAUGUUCAAUUGUUUAUGUUCCAAAAACACCGACGGCCGGUGAUCCCUUCAAAAGGAAAAAGGAAAAGGCAUCUGCCAAUUAGCUGGAAGGAAGCAUGUAAAAAGAAGAAUUUAUUAUAAUUACAUGGCUGCAUGCCAAUUAUGUUGCCAAAAGCAGUAAACAGAACCACGAUUGUGAUUUUCAAUCGCUUUUAUAUUAAAAUCGUAGUUUAAAAUAGCAGUUUUUUUAAAACUAUUUUUUUUUAUAAAAAAAAAUCAAACCAUAUUAUAUAUUUCUCUAACUGUAUCAAUUUGUUUUUUAAAAAAAUUCCUAUUAUUAGGGCAGAGUAACAACUAACAAGUUUUUCUCUAACUUUAUCAAUCAUUAAAAUAUAAUGUGAAGUCAACAAGGUAGUAGUACGUGCAAACACUUAAUUUUUUACUGGGUUAGAUCCGGUUCAAUAUAUUUAUUUUUAGAUUGGAUUUGGUUUGGUCGGAAUAGUAGAGACAUGUUCUACUGUUCAUCAUUUUGCUGCUUUCAGUAAUCCUGCGUUUUCAACGCAGAUACUGAUAGGGGCCAUAAAAAGUAAAUUGAGUUUUAUUAAAAAAUAAAAUUAAACCAUAUAUUUCUCUAAUUGUAUCAAUUUGUUUUUUAAAAAAAUUCCUAUUAUUAAGGCAAAGUAACAAAAAGAAAAAACAAAUAACAAGACAUUAAGCCUUUUUGUACACUGGAAAUACAUGGAUUUGAUUUUUUUUUAUUUUUAUAUCAUUUUAAUGUACUAAUAUCAAAAAUAAAUUUUAAAAUCAUUUUGAAAAACAAAUGUUACCACAAUACCAAAUAGGUUUUCUAACAACUUCUUCUUCGUCAAAUCAUCAUAAUCAUUAUAAUAUAAUGUAAAAGCAAAAAAGUCUUUGGCACAUGCAAACACUUGGACUAAAGAUAUAGAAGGUGUUUGCGAGUGUGGUAAUUGUAAGACCCAAACUUGUAGCCCAAACCCAAGCUCAAGUCAACUCAAACCCAACAUAAGUUAACCUAGGUAUAUAAGAAAAAGUUGCGAGAGAAUUAAUUUUCUCUCUUCUAAAUCUUGUGGCCAUCAUGACCCUCCUCUAAUCAAACUAAGGAUUUCAGUUUGUGAUCUUGAGUUUUGGGUUUAAAAAAAGUGGAAGUAGCAAGUGGUUUUCUCUCAUGUUACUUUCGAUUAUGGUUUGUUUAUGGAAAGAUUAAAAAAGAGAUUACGGUUUAUAAGGAUUUGAAGUUUGUUUUGUUAAGAUUAAUUCAUGAUUAUUAAUGGUUUAAUGUUAAGUGGUUGAUAUUGAGUAUGUUGUUAAAAAUAAAGUUUUAUGAGUUGAUUUGUUUAAAUUAAUUUUUUUAUGGGUUAAGAAAUCCAUUUCAACCUUGUUGGAAAAUCUAGACAGAAUGGUCUUAAGGUUGAAGAUUAAAAAACUUUAUUUUGGUACUUGAUUUAUAAAAAUUAUAAUUUAGUCCCUCAACUUUGAAAAAUUAUAAUUUGAUCCCUGAUAUGUCUUUUGAGAUUUUGGACAGUGUUAUUAUGAGGUUAAGGAUGAUGAAUCUCAGUUUGAUAAUUGAUUUGAAAUAUUUUUAGUUUGGUCCCUUAAUUUUGGAAAUUUACAUUUUAGUCCUUGAACUUUUAAAAAAUUAUAGUUUGGUCCCUGUGUCAUUCUGGACAAAAUUAAGGAUGGUUUAUGAGUGAAAUUUCAAUGUGGUUAUGUAUUUAUAGUUUGGUCUAGUUUUGGUAAAAUUACUUUUUAGUCCCUGUUUUGGAUAAUUGUCGCUUUAGUCCCUAAACCUAGAAGACUAAACCUGGUUUUCUUUUAUGCAUUGGAAUCUAUUAUUUGUGUUGUUUUGAGUUGCUUUUGAGUAUAUUUUCUAUAUUUGUUAUAGGCUCUCCUAAUGAUCCUCAAUAGAUUUUACAAGUCUUUCAUCUGAUAUUCCUUUUAAUCUAUAUUUUUCCGGGUAAGUGGAAUAAUCUUUAAUGCAUAUAAUAUAAAUAAAUAUGUAAGUUGAUUAUAUGAUGAGUACGACUAGUUAAUCUCUUGAAUACUUAUAUAUGUUGCUAUAUUUUUUGAGUACUCACUUAUUCUUGAAUUUGCACCCGCUUUUUGUCAAACUAAAUUCUAAUCAAUAUGAUAUAUAUUUCUUUGAUGAUUCUGUGAAUAUCUAUUAUGUCUUGAUAUAGAACUUGUCAAUAACUCCAUGCUAAUGGAGAGUAGUUAGCCUUCACUCAUCUUCAGGGACAUUGUAAGAAACAACUUGGUCGAUAAAUAGUCUGAUGGAGUGUGAGAAACCAAUAAUUAGAGAAACUUAAGGUUCAAUAAACCAAAUUUAGCAAUGACACAUGCAAAAUAGACAAAGGGGAUCCAUCUUAUUGGUCAAAUGCAAGCCAUUUUUAUGGAAUACAUUAAAGGAUCUGAGUACUUGCACAAUAUCAGAAAAGUGUGAAGUUCAUUUUGAACAUUAUCAGCUUAAAAAUCAACAUUUGUGUGUGUGAAAGAACCAUUGACCAAAGCACUAUAACAAAUAAGAGUAUACCUGACUGAGGCUAAUGAUGGCAAUAAAUUGUAAAUUAUAAGGUCUUCUCCCACUCUGAAAACCAAGUUCAUGAGAGAUGGAACAAUUUCUACAAUGUUGUUGUGCUUCUUUAUUAAUCAACCAAGCUGUACAUAUAGGUUUAAGAGAAACUAAUCAACACCUAAAUACAAGGAAGGAUAAGAUGAAGACUCAUAGUCUUAAAGAAGUUUGAACUGAAUGAUUUAAUCUUCAUUCUGAUAGUUCAAGCUUGGUUGGCAAGAAGAAUGUGAGGAAAGCAACGAAAAGGAAAAGAAAAAAAAAUAUAUAGAAAACAUGAAUUUAUAUCAUUGGUUCUAUAUGAUAAUAAAAAAGCUCAUAAAAUUAGUCACAACCCAAUACUAAGAUAUAUAUUUUAAUAGAGAAAAUGGCAGUGAAGAAGAAUAGCCCAGGAAAUGGCGGCGAAGAUUCGUUUAGCAAGACUGGGAUGCACAAACAUGGCAUUUUACAGAAUUGUUGCUACUAAUAGCCAUACUCCAAGAGAUGGCAAACACCUUCAAGUUGUUGGUUUCUACGACCCCUUAGCAGGUUCCCUCUUCUUCUCUUAUUAUUUUCAUAUACUCAGUUCACAUGAAGAUUUUUUUUUCUAAUUUUAAAGACCUGGACUUUGAAGGCUUAUUGGGUUUAUUUUCAGGUUCUCAUAUCAUCAAUGCAUGGUAUGUGUAGAUAGCUUUGUUGAUGGGGACACCGAACCAGAAACAUUGGUUACAUACGCGUAUGAUCAUAGACGAUGGAGGAUAGCCCAAACCAUUGAGAAAUUGGGCUUUAGCUUAUGUUUUUUGGUUUAAUUUAUAUGAACUUUUAGUUAAGAUUUAUUAAUUUGAUUUUAUUUGUUGGGUUUGAUUUCUUUAUUGUUAGGUAUUUUAUUUAGUGGGCCAUAAGCCCAAACGCUUGUUCUAGUUAGGGUUUGAUGUGAACCUCGUGAUCACGUGGUCACGCAACCCACAAUCAAGAUUGAGAUCUAAUCCCGGAAAAACGAAAUAGGUCUGAUAUGAGUGCGACAUAAUGGAAACCUGCCCCAAGGCACCAACACUAUUGGAAUGAGUAGAAUGACGUCACAAAGCCAGUUAAUCUUCGAUAAGUCAGAUUGAGUUCGUUCAAGAACUGAAGAGUGCAAGAAUCACUCUCACAUGUUAAAACUGAAAAAUUCAGAAUAAUAAUCAUCAAAGCUGCCGAAAUUUUGGCUUACAUGAGUUUAAAUAGUUCUUGAAAAGUUAACCCUAAUGGACCCCUUAUGUGGACUUAUAUGAGGUCCACUCAAAACUGGCCCAAAACCCUAAAAUGAAAAGCCCAUAACCAGAUCCAAACAAGCCUUGGGCUGUAGCUAACAAAAUAAAAUAAAGCCCCUAAUAUUAAAUCCAUGUUCUGCCAUGAGAAUAAUAGAAUGAACUAAAAUAAUAUAGAAUUGAUUGAAGGCUUAUUUAUAGCCUUCCAUGCAGCCCUUUAAUCCUAGAAACAAAAGGAAAAGGUAGCCACCAUGUUGUUUCCAAGUUGUAGUAGGAUUAUUUUGUUUCCUUUGCUGUCCUCAUCUCAUGGCCCAAAUAAGGUUGUAUUGGACCCCUCUUGCACAUGGAUAAGAUGUACUAGGAUCUCCUCUUGAUACUCCAAUGGACCUUCCAAUUCUGACUUGGUGGAAACCUUCAAAACCAAUGCAUUCAAUGCGUCGUUCAAUGUCUUUGUCUUGGACCGAGUCAUUGGUCCAUUUGGAACAUGUAAUGGGUCCUUGCUGGUGUUUCUGGGCUGGUCCGCAUCAGGGUUUUAGUAUUUAUAUCCUACUUUUCAAAAUCUUAAACAGUUUUUGAUGAUUAAUAAAAAUAUUGCAGACUUUGCAUAUCUCUAAUCCCUUUUAUUCUCUUCUUUAGCUUCUUUCUUUCUCUAAACCUUCUUUUUUUUCUUGCUUUAAUCCUUAUUAUUUAUUGUCCCGCGUCAAAUUUAGUAUCAGAGUCAGGGUUUUAAUUGUUUUUACAAUUAAACGAUCCACAAUAUUUAUGCUAAACCCUAGAUCCGAUUUGAUCUUUUAAAAAAAAUUGUUCACUAUUUAAAAAAAAAACCUACUGUUCUAAUUGAAAAAAAAGAAGAAGAGGGAAACAUUGUUCAUCUUCUCCCCCAGCAAACCGCCGCCGCACAGCACGCCACCUUCGCCAGAGGGCAGAUCGGGCAUCCCCAACAACCACCAAAACCCACGACAGCUCUCUAUAGCACCUAAGGCGAAAGAUUUUCCUACAGCAGGCCGCUCUCCACGCCACUUGUAGUCACACCGAUUUACUACCUCUAAAACUCCUACAGCACCUCAACUUCCACCAAUAGCAACAGAUUAGUGGGUUACAAUAAUUGUAGCCCACGCCACCGUCACCAACCAACCCAGACAAUAACCCACAUCCACAACAAGUCACUCACACAAGAAGUAGUAGAUCUUCAUCGACGACGGCUCAUCUACCAGCUCAUCCUCUCCCCGCCAUCAGUAAGUCAGACAUCUAGCCACUACUUCGCUCCACAAGAAACCCACAGAGCCACACUGAAUUGUUAUCUCCAAAAUAAAUUUGUCUUUAGCCUCUUGCACCAUCUAGCGGCACCAACAAUAGCAUCACCCUCACCGAUUCUUAGAUAAAUCGCACCCUCCAGCAGAAGCAGCACCCGCCGCAGUCACAACUGGUCCUUCAGACCUAUUGAUACAGCAACAGUCAUGCCUCGCCACCAGCAAAUGACAAAAAAAGACUCGGUAAUUGCAGAACAGAAGAAGGGAUUUGAGGCAAAAUAAUUAGACCUGCCAUGUCAUUAACCACGCCAACAUAUUUAGCCAUGUCAACAUAUUCAUCCUCGCCAUCAAUGAAGGAAACCAGGAAACCAAAGAAGGCUCUCGAUGCAAAAUUAAUUAAGCAAACUGACCACAUCAUCUACCAUGUCAGCAGUCAAUUCCUCUAGUUUGCCACGUUAGCUCUAAAAAAUUCUAUCUUCCUCCCAGCACUCUAGUUAGUGAAUCACUCUCCCAUGUUAUUUGUUGAAGUUUAUUUUUUUUAUUUUUCACUUGUCAUUUAAAGUUAUUAUUAAUAUUACUUUUGUGCCUAGAAAAUUCUCAAAAAAAAAAAUUCUCACCUUACUUUUUAUUCGUUAAUUUGCUCAUUAACCUUUUUUUAUCAUUAAUAUCUAUUAUAUUGUCCUCUUUAAUAAUUGUGAGUCUUUGCCUUGACAUUGUAUUUGAUUAAUCAUUUACACUUGAGGGUUAAGCAUUACAUGCUUAUAAUCUUAUUGGUGUAAUUUGUUCUUGAUUAAUCUCCACAUUAAAAAAAUAAAAAAAAGAUAGGAUUAGCUUUAUUUUUGUAUUGUGACUUCACUUGCAAGAACCAUUUGUGAUCUCAAUUUCAUUUCUAAGUGAGUGUUGCAUGCUUUUGUGUCAUGAUCAUCUAGUGUUCAAGCUAACACUAUUGUAGACUCGACUAUUAGUGAUACUCUUAUGACCAUUUAAAGGGAACUGCAAACUUAGGUGAUCACCAUAUUUAAAAGAAUUGAGCCCCAAGAAAGUUUUAGAAUAAGGCACUCAAAGACCAAUAAAUAUCACAAGAAUAAUCAUUGUGGACAAGUUCACUCUGAGCGCCACCAGUAUGACUAUCAUUUAGGUUACUCUAAACACGAUGACUUUGAUGAGCUAGUCUUGAGUCCUAACAAAAUAGAAGCCCCCACUUUUGACGGUUGUCAUGACCUUUGGAUAUUUGAUAUGUGGAUUCGUGAUAUGGAUUGAUUCUUUGAGUGGCAUAACUUGUAUGAUAAUAAAAAAGUUAGAUUUGCUGAGAUGAAGCUUAUUGGUGAAACCAAAACUUAUUGGAGAGAAGUUGAAGAUUGUUUAGAGAUGAGAGGUAAACCUCCUAUAACUGAUUGGAUCAAAAAGAAACAAAACCUUCAAGAGAAGUACCUACCCCAGUCUUAUAGGAAUAAACUCUUAAGCCAAUGGAACAAUCUAAGACAAGGGAAUAAGUCUAUCAAUGAGUAUAUAACACAGUUUAAUGAUUACAUGAUGGGAUGAGCCAUAAGAGACAAUGAAGCCAUGACUUUGCGUAGAUUUUUUAAAGGCUUGAAAGAUGAUCUUAGAAGAGAAGUUAUAUUUCAAGGUGUAUCUACCCUUGACCAAGCUUAUACCUUAGUUAAAAACUACAAGUUGGUCACAAAGAAUCAAUGGAAGAAUCAGCAGGACUCUUAUAGUAUCCCUAUUAGGUCCCAAUUCAGAAGUAGUGAUUCUUUGUUAGGUGCUCCACCCCACAGACCUAAUCUUAGUAACUCCCAACUUUAUAAAAAAAGAUAAAGGCAAACGAGUUUUUAAUGAAUUGUCUAAGGUGAGUUCAAUGGUUAAGUAGCACUAAUUGUCUAGGUUUUGGUCAUAUCUAUUUAAAUUGUAGCUCUAAACCUUUAGCCAUCCAAAAAUAUAAGGAUAUAUGUAAAGAGGAAUAUUGUAGUGUGAUUAGUACUUAAAAGUGCAUAUUUAUCAAGGUUUUAUAGCAUCAUUUUGCACUUAAAGUAUCAAUAACUCCUUAACUAAAGCAUGGUUUAUAAUAAUAAGUCUAAUACUUAAAAUACCUUAAUAUAUGGUAAAUGUUCAUCUUAAAUGCAGGCAUAUCACAUAAAUCAAAGGAUUGAUUGAUGAAUUCAACUACUGAAAUUUGUGAAGAUAAGGAGAGGGUGAAAUUUAGAAAAGAGAUGUUGGUGCAGUUCAAACUGAAAUACUAUUCGGUAAUUGGGUCAUAUCUAGAGUUCUAUAUGUCCAAAUGAUAUCAUAUUUUUAAAAAGAUUCAGUAAGAGAUAGGCCUACAACUUUCAUGUUUUCAUCAAGAUCUAAGAAGGCCGUUUUCAAGUCCAAAUGAUAGCAACAACGGAGAAGUCCGAAUCUGUCCUGCAGCUCUAACACUGUUUAGUGUUUGGCCCAUAACUGGCGUUCUAGAAGUCCAAAUGACCUCCAUUUUUUUUCCUGGAAAUUUGAGUCAAUUUCCUACAACUUUCAUGUUUUCUAGUGGACCCAGUUCGGAAGCUAGCAUUUUUGUUUUAUUCAGACAAGAAGAUAAGGAUUUUCACCAAGUCAAAAGUUGGCCACCCACUCAACAAUUAGUUAUCAAAUCAAUAAUUCCGAAUUUUGGCCUAUAAAAGGAGGCAUUUGCCAUGUAUUCUGGGGCUUGGUUGUUCAGAUCAAGCUCAUGCUCUUUAUUUCUCUCUUUAUAUUUUUUUGUAAUUUUUAAGUUUUGCUUUCAUUAAUAUCUUGUUUAUGCUUUUCAUUUCUUUUCCUUUACUUAGUUAACUUGUAUUUUCUUUAUGUUCUUGUUUUGUUUAUUUAUGUUUCUCUUCUUCAUUAUGUUUAGCUAAGUUUAUUAUGUCAAGGUGAAAAGGUUACACUAAUGGUGUAAGAAUAAAUAUAGUGUAAACUCAACAUGGAUCUUAAUGUUUAAUAUUAACAUGUCUUAUCUUUUUAUCUUACUAAUUCUUAAUACCUUGCUUGUUAAAUGGUUAAUCUAGAUUUGUGUUGUAUAACACUUGGUACAGCAAAUGCUUGGCACUCUCAUAGCCCAACAGUAUGGUAUUACCUACACCUGGGCUAUGAAAGGAACUUGAUUUGUUGUUAACAUCAGUUAAUAUCAUGAAUCCUGACAAUAUUUAAAAGUGUGGUGUUAUGUAAUAAGAUAAUUAAUAUGAUCAUGUUAAAAUUUAUAAUGAGCUAUUAAUGAGAAAUCAUCCGAUUGGAACCUCCUUUUUAUGUGUGGUUUCCAUUGAGUAAUAAGAGUUUAUACUAUACUUGUUUGAAAUACCAUUGGUGGAUCCUCUAACCUUGACAUUUGUUUUUAUCAUUGUUUAAUCCUUACUUAAUCUUUAUCUCAAAGUUCUCAUUAAUUUCUUCUCUCUUAUUAUUAUUAUUAUUAUUAUUUACAUUCUGUUUAUAUUAUAUAAUAUAUAUCUUUGAUCUUUUCAUAAACUCAGUAUAUAGGCUGGAAACCUGUGACCCGAUCUUUUAGAUCAUUCUCAGGUAUAACAACGCCACGUACUGAGUAUUAUUAUUAUUUUAUUGUUGUUGUUGUUGUUGUCUUGUUAUUUAUAAUUUAUACAAUUAACCUCUCUGUGGUUCGACCCCGGUCUUGCCGGGUUAUUUAUUACUUCGACACUCCUGCACUUGGGAGAAGACAUCAAGCUUUUGGUCGUGUCAAGUUUUUGGCGCCGUUGCCGGGGAGGUAAAUUCUUGUAUAAAUUAUAAUAUUUAUUUAUUUUUCUACUUUUCAUUUUUUUCUUUUGUUUUGUUUCUUUUUUUUUUUCUUUUCUUUCUUCCUUUUCUUCUCUUUCUACACGUGCAUGAGAGUUUGGUCACGUACAUUAAAUGAUAACUUUGUAAAUACUCAUCUUUAGAAAACAUGGCCGAAGAAGAGGAUAAUCAAUCGCUUUAUAAUGAGAAUAAUCGGGUUAGAACACUUAGAGACUACAUGAAUCCACAAGAACAAUUGCGCGAUCAUGUAUAUUUUUUCCUCCUGAUGCAUCUCAUUUUAAUUUUAAGCCAGGCAUUAUUCAACUUUUACCUUCUUUUCAUGGCUUAGAUCUAGAAAAUCCAUACUUGCAUUUGAGAGAAUUUGAGGAAGUUUGUAACACUUAUAAUGACUCAAAUUGUAGCAUGAACACCAUUAGAUUAAAGCUUUUUCCUUUUUCUUUAAAAGAUAAAGCUAAAACAUGGCUACAAAAUUUGAGACCAGGAUCCAUUCGUGCUUGGGAUGAAUUGCAACAACAAUUUUUAAAGAAGUUUUUUCCAUCUCACAGAACAAACUCUUUCAAAAGACAAAUCACCACUUUCACUCAAAAACCAGGAGAAACAUUUUACCAAUGUUGGGAUAGGUAUCGAGACUUGAUUAAUACUUGCCCUCAUCAUGGUUUUGAAACAUGGAGAUUGGUUUCACAUUUUUAUAAAGGAUUAACACCUAAAGAUAGGCAAAUGGUGGAAUUGAUGUGCAAUGGAACUUUUGAAGAUAAAGACCCUAAUGAAGCAAUGGAGUACCUAGACUUGCUAGCUGAAAAUGCUCAAAAUUGGGACACAAUUUGAGGCACAGUAAAACUCAACCUCAUACAUCUAGUGGAGGUAUGUACAACCUUAGGGAAGAUCAUGACCUCCAAGCCAAUUUGCAUCUUUAGCUAGAAAAGUCGAGGCACUAGAAUUAAAAAGAGUGGUCAAUUAAAAUCUGUUCAAGACAUUGUGUGUCAAAUCUGUGAAACAAAUGAACAUGCAACCAAUGAUUGUCCAACUUUGCCUUCUUUCAAGGAAUGCCUCCAUGAACAAGCCCAUGCUUUAAACAGUUUCCAAAGGCCCAACCAUACUCGCAAACAUACAAUCCUGGUUGGAGAAAUCACCCAAAUUUUAGUUGGAAGAGUGAUAACAAUAAUGCACAAACUUCACAGCCAUCGUUUCAAGCACACCAUAAUUUCCAAAAUUCUCAUGGAUAUGCACCUCCUUAUGCUCCACCUCUAGAAGAAAUCUUGAGGAAACAUUGCAUUCAUUCAUUGAAAAGCAAGAGAUAAUCAACACUCAACUUGCUCAAAGCAUGACAGGUUUUAAAGAUACUCUUGCAAAGUUAACAUCUGCUCUCAGUUUUCAAGAGAACGGUAAGUUUCCAUCUCAACCACAGCAAAAUCCAAAGGAGAAAUACAAUGUAAAUGCAAGUAGUUCAGAAGUCAACACAUGGAUCAAGUCAAAUCAGACAUCACUCUUCAGUGGUAAGGUUAUUGAAAAACCAUUCUUGAACCUUGUGAGAAAGAUGAUGAGUCAAUCUCUGAGGGUAAGGAAGGGGUUGAAUCUGAACAUUGCAAAGAAAAGACUGAUUUCCCACCAGCACUUCCAUUUCCUCAUGCCAUGACCAAACAGGAAGCAAUCGAUGAUGAAAAAGGCACCGAAAAUGUUGUCGCGGAUCAUUUGUCAAAGUUGACAAUAGAUUCGACAUCCGACAUCACACCAAUCAAUGAUUACUUUCCUGAUGAAUCUUUACUUUCUCUUAGUUCAAUGCCUUGGUUUGCUAAAAAUAACAAUUUUCUUGCUUCAGGAUUUUUGACAGCUCAUUUGGAUAACCAAGAUAAAAGAAAGUUUUUGAGCGACGUGCAAAACCUUUAUUGGGAUGACCCUUACUUAUUCAAAUAUUGUCCUGAUCAAAUAUUUCAAAGAUGCAUUCCUGACAAUGAGGUAAGUAGUGUCAUUAAAUUUUGUCACUCUGAAGCAUGUGGGGAUCAUUUCUCGUCAAAAAAGACGACUGCAAAAAUCUUACAAAGUGAAUUUUACUGGCCCACCAUGUUCAAGGACUCAUAUGCAUUCUGCAAAACCUGUGAAAAUUAUCAAAAGGUGGGAUUUAUUUCAAAACAUAGAGAGUCUUUAGAUAAUCUUCCAUUGACUCUUAAGUCUCAUCACAGUGGAGAUGUGCAUAGUGCAAUACAUGAUUUAUGGCCCUAUUUUCAUAAAGAACAUGCUCAUCAUAGUCUUGGGAAUCUGACUAAAAAAAAGACAUUUUUUGCUAGUUUUUUAAAAAAACUGGAUGGGAAGCCUAUCCCCGACCCAUAGAGGGCGUUUAAGCCGUUUUUAGACGUAAAACCAAGGAAAGCUGUGAGCCACAAUCACAACUACCUGUACAUACACAUGCUUUUUCAAAAUAAAUAAAUAAAUAAAUAAAGAGAGAGAGUGUGUGAGACUACGACUGGCCUACAUAUAGGUGGUGUGAUUGCAUUUUCAAUUUCUCAUUUAUAAAUAUUUGCGUCUUUUGGUUUUAUUAUUGUGUUUUGUUGUUUCUUAUAUUUGUUUAAGUGUGUUUCAGGUUUGUUAGUGUUUGCUAUUUCAGGUGAUGUCUUCUAUACUCUAUCUUUCUACCUUAAGACAUUGAGGACAAUGUCUUAUUUUGGUUGGGGGGAAAGGGUAGUAGUUGAUAAUUAAAAAAAAAAAUUGUGUUUUCUAUUUCAUAAACUAUUUGCAAAACUGUUGUUACUAGGAUGGCAGAGUAAAAGGAGUUCUUUUGUUAAAGUGACUCUUGAGACGCAUCUUAGUAAACAUUCUUAACAGGUCUAUCAGAAUACUUCUUGAAAUAUUCAGGUUUACAAACUCUCGUAUUGGUAGCACUUGAUUCUGCUCAUAUGCUCAUUUAACAAGUAUUUUUAAAUCUUCAUUUUCACACACACACUUUAACAUAUGAUUGUGGGUUGCACAUUGGAUUAUUACAUUAUUUAUGUUCUUUUGUUAAAGGUAACAACUAAGGGAAAGGGAUAGUACAUAAUUUGCAAAAAAAAAAAAUGAUAAUAAAAAGGUAGAUAAGUUUGGUUUCGUAGCCUCCCUAACCUAAGCAAUUAAGCCCGAAGGGGUGUUUUAACACUUAAUACCCUAAAGUCAACUGACUUGGGAGCUAUUGGCCCAACGCUUGUUACAUGGGUUGAGGAGAAAAGCUUAAGGGAAUCAAACAUUGCACUAUCUACGUAUCAGUAUCUGCAACCCGAGUUGCUAAGCUCGUAGGGGUGUCUCAACACCUAAUGCCCUAAGACCAACUGGUCUGGGAGUCAUUAGCCUAAAACUCGUUACAUGGGUUAAAGACAUUGUGUUUCAAGUUUAUGUGUAUAUAAAUAAAUAAAUAAAAUAAAAAAAAUAAUAAUCCAACCAAGGAAGUUACCUUAAACAUUAGAACAAAAAUUUGUUUUUCUUCCAAGUAAAGCCCCAUAACUAUAUGUUGAUAUUUUGAGCAAAAAGAAAGGUUUAGUAAUAUCUUGUUUAAGAGGUAUUGAGCAGAUAUAUGAAUUUAAUGAGAGUUUGUUUAUCUGGAUAAUUAAAGUAAGUUGAAUGAUGAAUGCCUUGCUUUAUGGAAUUUGCAAAUUGUUUUUCUAUUUUAACGCUUUGAUUACUAGGGACUAGUAAUAAGCUGGUUGGGGGGUGUGAUUAGUACUUAAAAGUUAUUUAUCAAGGUUUUAUAUCAUCAUUUUGCACUUAAAGUAUCAAUAACUCCUUAACUAAAGCAUGUUUUAUAAUAACAAGUCUAAUACUAUAAAAUUAAUAUAUGGUAAAUGUUCAUCUUAAAUGCAUAUCACAUAAAUCAAAGGAUUGAUUGAUGAAUUCAACUACUGAAAUUUUGAAGAUAAAGAGAGGGUGAAACUUAGAAAAGAGAUGUUGGUGCAGUCCAAACUGGAACACUGUUCGGUAAUUGGGUCAUAUCUCGAGUUCUAGAUGUCCAAAUGAUUAUUUUACAAGAUUCAGUAAGACAUAGGCCUACAACUUUCAUGUUUUCAUCAAGAUCUAAGAAGGCCGUUUUCAAGUCCAAAUUAUAGCAACAACGGAGAAGUUGAAUCUGUCCUGCAGCCCAACACUGUUUCAUAUUGGAGUUCUAGAAGUCCAAAUGACCUCCAUUUUUUUUCCUGGAAAUGAGUCAAUUUCCUACAACUUUCAUGUUUCAAGUGGACCCAGUUCGGAUGCUAGCAUUUUUGUUUUAUUCAGACAAGAAGAUAAGGAUUUUCACCAAGUCAAAAGUUGGCCACCCACUCAACAAUUAGUCAUCAAAUCAAUAAUUCCGAAUUUUGGCCUAUAAAAGGAGGCAUUUGCCAUGUAUUUGGGGCUUGGUUGUUCAGAUCAAGCUCAUGCUCUUUAUUCUUUCUCUUUAUAUUUUUUGUAAUUUUAAGUUUUGCUUUCAUUAAUAUCUUGUUUAUGCUUUUCAUUUCCUUUCCUUUACUUAGUUAACUUGUAUUCUUUAUGUUCUUGUUUUGUUUAUUUAUGUUUCUCUUCUUCAUUAUGUUUAGCUAAGUUUAUUAUGUCAAGGUGAAAAGGUUACACUAAUGGUGUAAGAAUAAAUAUAGUGUAAACUCAACAUGGAUCUUAAUGUUUAAUAUUAACAUGUCUUAUCUUUUUAUCUUACUAAUUCUUAAUACCUUGCUUGUUAAAUGGUUAAUCUAGAUUUGUGUUGUAUAACACUUGGUACCAAAUGCUUGGCACUCUCAUAGCCCAACGUAUGGUAUUACCUACACCUGGGCUAUGAAAGGAACUUGAUUUGUUGUUAACAUCAGUUAAUAUCAUGAAUUCCUGACAAUAUUUAAAAGUUUGGUGUUAUGUAAAUAAGAUAAUUAAUAUGAUCAUGUUAAUAAUUUAUAAUGAGCUAUUAAUGAGAAUCAUCACCGAUUGGAACCUCCUUUGUGUGUGGUUUCCAAAUUGAGUAAUAAGAGUUUAUACUAUACUUGUUUGAAAUACUAUUGGUGGAUCCUCUAACCUUGACAUUUGUUUUUAUCAUUGUUUAAUCCUUACAUUAAUCUUCCAUCUCAAAGUUCUCAUUAAUUUCUUCCUCCUCUUAUUAUUAUUAUUAUUAUUUACAUUCUAUUUAUAUUAUAUAAUUUAUCUCUUUGAUCUUUUCAUAAACUCAGUAUAUAGGCUGGAAACCUGUGACCCGAUCUUUUAGAUCAUUCUCAAGUAUAACAACGCCACAUACUGAGUAUUAUUAUUAUUGUUAUUGUUAUUAUUGUUGUUGUUGUUGUUGUCUUGUUAUUUAUAAUUUAUACAAUUAAUCUCUCUGUGGUUCGACCCCGGUCUUGCCGGGUUAUUUAUUACUUCGACACUCCUACACUUGGGAGAAGACAUCAAUCUUUUUGUCGUGUCAUAGUGUUGAAAUGUAUGAGCCUAAUCUUGAGGAUUUUAGUGACCUAGAUGACAAGGGUGUGCAAGAAGAGAUACUUAAUAUAAUGAGUCCACGUGAGCUUGAGAAUGAUGUUAGGGAAGUGUCUGAUAAAUCUGCUUUAAUGGUAGAGGAAGUUUUAGGGAACUCUUUAGUGGAAUCGCCUAUAGAGAUAAAUAUGGUCUUAGAAGAGUCUCAUGAUAUUAGUUCUCCUAAACUACCUGAUUCCUCACCCCACAUGAUUGAUGUCCAGCACAUCAUAAGUUUAGAACAACAUGUUGAGCUUUCUGACCCCUUACCUCAUGCACAUGAUAAAGAAGAUGAAGAUAAUCUCAGUUUACUUGAUUGUGUCCAUACCAUGUCUACACAUGUUUCAAACAAUGUUUGUCUCAUUCCACACCCUCGAUCAUUUAAUAUUCAUAGUUAUAAACCCUGAGAAGCCUAUAGAACACCUUCCCAUAUCUUCUCAUGAUAAGAUGUCCAAGUCAAUUGAGUCGUUACCAUGCGGAGUUCAUAAUUUGCAUGUUGAGAUCAUGAAUCAAAUUCAAGCAAGUAAUGAAUAAUAUAAAUUUUGAGCUGAUUUACUUAAGUAUCAUGAUGCAUUUAAUGUUGGAGAUUAUUUCAUGAUACAGAUUAGACCUAAACGGUGUCCUUUGAAAACCGAUCAUAGAUUGCAAGUAAGUAGUGCUAGACCAUUCAAAGUGUUACAAAUGAUUGAAUCAAAUAAUUAUGUCAUUAAAUUGCCAUUAAACUUUGAUAUUAACUCUACUUUUAACAUGAAUGACUUCAUUAUUUAUAAAAUACAACAUAUCCUUGUUGCUCCUUUUGAUACCCCUACCUCAUUAUCCAUAUCUUUGGCACAAAGGGAACAUAUUAAUGUUACUUUGAAUGCACAGGUUGUUUUUACCAGGGAUAAUGAACUUCAACAAAUCCCAGUAUAUGGGCUCGACAACCAGAUUCAGACUAUACUUGGAUUAUCAAAGAGACAUCAUAACAACUUGAUCCUUAUCUUUGAGAGCAUUAUCGGAGCUACCUUGAUCCUAUACUCGAUAGGGUCAAGUUCUUCCAACCUAAGAGAAUUGAUAAGGACACCAAACCGGAAACAUUGGUUACGCACGCGUAUGAUCAUAGACGAUGGAGAAUAGCCCAAACUAUUGAGAAAUUAGGCUUUAACUUAUGUUUUUGGGUUUAAUUUAUAUGAAUUUUUAGUUAAGAUUUAUUAAUUUGGUUUUAUUUAUUGGGUUUAAUUUAAUUAUUGUUGGGUAUUUUACUUAGUGGACCAUAAGUCUAAACGCUUGUUUUAGUUAGGGUUUUAGUAUUUAUAUCUUACUUUUCUAAAUAUUAGAUAAUUUUUUAUGAUUAAUAAAAAUAUUGUAAACUUUGUAUAUCUUCAAUCCAUUUUCUUCUCUUCUUUAAUUUCUUUCUUUCUCUAAAGCUUCUCUCUUUUCUUGCUUUAAUCCUUAUUAUUUAUUGUCCCGUGUCAUUUGUUACUCAAGACUUAAACUCUGUGGGAUAAUGCAUUUGUAAUUUUAUUUUCUUAUGUAUAUGUAGUUUAAUAUGACCAUUGAUAGCUCUGAUUGUUCAUAGUUCAUUUUGUCAUCAGUUAAAGUCUCAAAAAUAUGUUCAUAGUUCAUAGUUCAUAGUUCAUAGUUUUAGUAGUUUUGUGGGUUAAUUUUCAUGUAUUUAAUUUAAAUCUAGUCCAAACCAAGGUCACUGGAUCAAGGUUUUAAGAAAGAGUAUUUCUUUCCUCUUUCGUUUUUCCGCUCAAGGUUGGAUGGAGGCCAGAAAUGAGAUGCAAGCUCACAUCAUGAAAAUGGGUCAAAAUUCAAAAACAUUCUAUCAAGUUGCCUAAGCCUGGGCCAAUCCUGUUCUUGAUGCUCGGGCAAUAAUAGUCAUAUUGAUGGGGACGACGACUUGACCUUUAAGUCUUCCUUGAAAUUACGUGUUUCCUUUUUCCUUAUAUAUAUAUAUGUAUGUAUGUAUGUAUGUAUGUAUAAAAGGAAAAAGGAAAAGGCAUCUAUGUAAAAGGCAUCUAUGUAAAAGGCAUCUGUGUGUGUGUAAAGGAAAAAGGAAAAGAGAAGUGUUUAGUGAAAACAAAGACAAGAAAUUCGAAAUUUCCAGGAAAAUUAUAAAAGAAUUUGAAGUAAAAAAUUAAUAGACUAAAGAAUGAUGUUGGACAGAAGUGUUUAGUGUUUUAAAAAAAUAUAUAAUAAAAAAGUUAAAGAGAAAAUAACAAGAAUAUAUAAUAAAAAGUGUUUAGUGCUUUUGAUUUUUAAAAAUUAUUUUUAUAUCAGUAAAUUAAAAAAAAAAACUAAAAAAAUUCAAAAUUUACAAAAACGAAUUUCCAGGAAAUCAACAAUGUGCAAUCUUGUAAUGUUCUAAGAAAAUUCUUGGAUUUGAUGCCUAUAAAUUAUACAUAUGCCUAAGGCAGGGUCUUAAACACGUAAAGCCUAAGCUAUUGCUUCAAAAUCAGCCUCAUCUUUUUUCCUUGAGUUACUUCCGCUCUCUCCCUCCAUGCCUACCUUACCACCAGAGUCUAAUUACUCUUGUUUCUUCGACUGUUUCUCCACAAAACAAUAUGAUGUCUCCAUCACCAUCUACUCCUUCCACCUUAACCACCGCCCAGCCACAAGGAAUUAAACAUGAUGUCUUCCUUAGUUUCAGCGAACAAGACACUCUUGCUGGUUUUACCAGCCACCUCCAUGCUGCUUUGAAACGGAAACAAAUCCUAACUUUCGUAGAUGAUCAGCAUGUGAGAGGAGAUGAGAUUUCGGCAUCACUUCUGAGAACAAUUGAAGAGGCCAAGCUUUCUGUGAUUGUUUUUUCUGAAAACUAUGCAUCUUCCAAAUGGUGCUUGGAGGAGCUUGCAAAGAUUUUUGAGUGUAGAAAAAACAAUGGACAGAUAGUUAUUCCGGUAUUCUACAAGGUGGAUCCAUCCCAUGUAAGAAAUCAAACAGGAAGCUUUGGGGAUGCAUUUGCUAGACUUAUAAGGAAUAAAGCUCUGACGUUGGAAGAAGUGCAGAGCUUCAGAGACGCUUUGACGGAUGCAGCCAAUCUAUCUGGAUGUCCCUUAUUAGGGAAUUCUGAGUAAGCUCUUGAAAUAUAUCCCAUGAGAAAAUAUUCGUUCAUUUGUUGAGGAUUUGAAAUUUAAUUUAAAAUUAUUGAGAAAGAUGAGCUCUGUGAAUCCAUAUUUAUUUUAUUUGAUUUUAAAAACGUUGUAGCGAAACACUAUUACGUGGUUGGUUGUUCUGUGUAUUAAAAUGUUUUUUAAAAAAAAAUUAAUUUUUUUUAGUGUUUUUAAAUUAUUUUGAUAUGUUUAUAUUAAAAAAUAUUUUUAAAAAAUAAAAAAUAUAUAUAUUAUUUGUUGCGAAAUGUUUGUAUAGAUAUUAAGUGGUUAUUUGUUUUUGUGUUUUUAAACAAAAAAUAUAUAUUAAAAUUUUUAAAAAACAAUUUAGUGUUUUUAGAUUAUUUUGAUGUGUUUAUAUUAAAAAAAUAUUUUAAAAAGUAAAAAAAUAUUAUUUGUAGCGAAAUGUUUGUAUAUUAUUUGUUUUUGUGUUUUAAAAUAAUAUUGAUGGAGAUGAUACUAUAAGAUAAGAUGAUAUGAGAAAACAUUAUAUGCAUUUGCAUUUCCAGUUUCAAGGAUUGAUUAAUGAUGCUCAAUUACUCAUACGUGCCUGCACUAAGGAGUGAGUAUGUUUAUAUGUUUCUUCUUGUCCGGUCCAUUUUGACUAACAAUUAUGUGUCUUCUUCUUGUUUGUCAGGCUGGAGUCUGAAUUUAUUGAGAAAAUCGUUGGUGAUGUUUUGAAAAAAUUGCAUGCCAUGCCUUCAAGUCACACCAUGGCCGGUCUAUUUGGAAUUGAUGUUCGUGUUAGCGAAGUUGAGUCUUUGUUAGAUAUGGAGUCUCCAAAUGUUCUCAUUGUAGGGAUAUGGGGAAUGGGUGGUAUCGGUAAGACAACGAUUGCUGAAGCUGUGACCAACGAGGUUCGUUCUAGAUUUGAUCAAGGAAUCUUUGUUGCAAACUUUAGGCAACAAUCUGAUUUGCAAAAAGAUUUCUUCAGGCUGCUUGGCCAAGAAACUCUGAACACUAUGGGCUCCUUGAGUUUUCGAGAUUCUUUUGUGAGGGAUAGACUUCGUCGAAAAGGUUUUUAUUGUUCUGGAUGAUGUGGAUGAUUUAAUGCUUUUGGAAGAAUGGAAGAUUUGCUUGAUGGACGAAACAGUUCAUUUGGUCCGGGCAGUAAAGUUCUCAUAACAAGUAGGGACAAGCAAGUGCUUAUAAUGUAGUUGAUGAGACAUACGAGGUUGAGGGGUUGAACGAUGAAGAAGCUAUUCAACUCUUUAGCUCAAAGCCUUGAAGAAUUGCAUCCCCACAAUUGAUCAAAGAGACUUGAUAGAAAGAUUGCAAGGCAUGUACAAGGCAAUCCGUUGGCUCUUAAGUUUUGGGUUCCUCUCUCUAUGGUAAAAGCAUCGAAGAAUGGCGCAGUGCAUUGAAUAAACUAGCUCAGCACCCUCAAAUCGAAAGGGCGUUGAGAAUUAGUUACGAUGGGUUGGAUUCAGAACAAAAAUCCAUAUUUCUUGACAUAGCACAUUUCUUCAAGGAUGGGGCAGACAAAGCAACAAGAAUAUUAGAUGGCUUUAUGGUCGGUCUGUGAGUUCGAUAUAAGCACGCUCAUUGAUAAGUGUCUCAUAACUACUGUAAUGAAUGUACGAGCUAGAAAUGCAUGAUUUACUACAAGAAAUGGCAUUUAACAUUGUUCGUGCAGAAUCUGAUUUUCCUGGCGAACGUAGCAGGUUAUGUCAUCCUCCUGAUGUCGUUCAAGUAUUGGAGGAAAAUAAGGUUAAAGCUAGUGCCAUUAACUGUCGUUCAUGUAUUUGCUCAAAAGUUGAUGUGUUUGAGUAGAUUGUAUUUAUGUUUGUUUAUUCUUUUUUCUUGUUUAACAGGGAACUCGAAAAAUUAAAGGCAUAUCUUUGGACUUGUCCGUGUUUCCGAGACACAUACUCUUGAAAUCUGAUGCCUUCGCAAUGAUGGAUGGUCUUCGAUUUCUCAGUAUCAAUCAUUCCUCCGAAGUUGAUAAAAUGCAGCUUCCUCCUACUGGCCUCGAGUAUCUUCCUAAUGAGCUGAGAUAUUUGCGAUGGGAUGGAUUCCCUUCGAAAUCCUUGCCGCCAUCUUUUCGUGCUGAACACCUUGUCGAGCUUCACCUACGCGGAAGCAAGCUUGAAAAACUUUGGACAGGAGUAAAGGUAUGAUUUAAUUGCUGCAUAUUUAUGAUAAAAAAUAUAAAGCUGGAGGUGCUAACUUUCUAAUUAUACCUUUUUCUGGUGACAGGAUAUUGGAAAUUUAAGAACAAUCAACCUAUCUGACUCUCCAUAUUUGACAGAAUUGCCAGAUCUAUCAGUGGCCAAAAAUUUAGAGUGCUGUAAUUUUAGAUCCCUGACACGUUUCAAAAUCGUUUUUGAAAAAAAUUGAAAAUUUUUUAUUUUUUAUUUUUUGUUUUAAAUUAAUAUUUUUAAAAUGUUUUCAAAUUAGUUUUAAUGUAUUUUUAAAUAAAAAAAUAUUUUUAAAAGCAACCACAACCAUACUUUUAAAAGCCUUGAAACUAAAGGGCUGUCCAAGUCUAACCGAGGUUCCGUAAUCUAAGUGGAAGUGCUGUCAAAGAGGUGUCCUCAUCAAUCCAGUUUCUCGCAAGACUCCGCGAAUUGGGAAGAUCUGUUUUAUCCCUUUCAAUCUCUUUUGUUUCUCCCUCAAUUUAUUUUCUUCUGAACUUUUGUUUGUUAAGGAAGAUCUGUGUCCGCCGGUAGAUUUUCAUCAAAGUGCAGAUACACCCCCACAGCUUUUCAACUCGACAGGCCUUCCGCUCUCACGAUGUCUCCACCUUCCCCGGUAGAAUUUAAAUGUAACUUCAUUGCCAGAAAAUUUACAUAAAUGAUUUGCCAAUUCGAGCUCGUAGUGUAGAAUCAUGUGAUCUGAGUCACAUGUCUUCAAGGAAUAUGAUGGAGCACGUCUUUCCCGGGAAGCGAAGACGACUUCAUCAUCACCAUCAUGCUCACCGUUUUUACUCUUAACAUGGUAAUCACAAUAUACAUGAACAUCAGAACGAUCAUCGAAUUCAUAAAGCAUGUCAUGGGAGGGAAGGAGUAGAUAGACAAGGCAGAAAGCAAUUCCCUUGAGCUGAUGACAAUUUGAGGGCAACUGUAUGGUGACUGAAGAUCCAAUUUCUGUCACCGAACCAUUCUGGAAUUUCACUCCCCGGUAGAACCAUAGUUUUAGAAAAUGAUCAAAAUAGGUCAUGGCUUGGGAUUGAAUGUUUGAUUUUUAAGUUAAAUAAAAAAUAAUUUCAAAAAAAACAAAGUUAUUAAAUCUAAUACAACAUAUAACUCAAAUCACGAAAUUACUUGGGAUUGAAUACUCACGCGUGAAUGUACAUGCUUCCAACCAUAUAGCUUCAAUUAUUAUGCUAUAACAUGCUUCAGCUAAGCAAGAAGCCAGCUUGAAGCUAUUCAUUCCUUGUGCUGUCAGUCAUCAUUCUUGCAAAUCACAAAUGUUUCAUGCCAAGAAGAGCCUUCUUAUCAAUUUAGUGCUCCAAACACAUGUCCUGGGAAACGUUACAGCUCUUUCAUAAUUAGGUAGCGAGAAAAAUCCAGAACUUUGAGGUUGAGUUUUUUGUACAAGAAAUAUACUAGAUGUGACUGUACCGUAUUUAUUUCUUUCUUUUUUCAGACUCUGCAGAAACUAAUCAACACUUCAUGUUCAGGGGAUGAAGAAGAGCCUCAUCCUCAUUCCUUCUCUGCAAUUACCACGAAUACAUCUUUCAGUGACCACCUACGUCUCUCACUUUUGGCAGGCGGAUUGAUAACAGCCUUUUCAGCAUUAGCUGCACGGUAACCAAUGACUAUCUCUCUUCUCUGUCGUGCGCGUAAUAGUACUUCAUAGAAACUCAAUUCCUCGCCUUCACUGAGGUAAAGAUCUGCUUGCCUUAUUUGUAGCUCAUUUCCCUGAUGAAGGCAAAAUGUUUGUGAAUGAUGAGUUUAACUGAUUAAAGGAUCUUAAAUUCCAACAUCAUCAAUAGCAACAAUUUCACUAAUACAACAAAGGAAUCACUCUGAUCAAUGCUCGAGGGUUGUUCUAAGCAGGAAAGAGAGAACAUGCUAGCAAACCCUUUGCUGUUGUGGUCCAACAUAUUAACUAGCUUAAUUUAUCACAACCAUAAUGAUUAUUUGGAUGCAGGGCUCACGCUAGGCUACUUUCUCAAUAUAAGAAGCAGGGCAUCAAAGUCAUUAUAAUAUAUGAUUUAAAGGAGUGACCAACUAAAUGCACUAGGGAACGAAGGUAAUGAUCACCUGAUGUGUUUAAGAUUUCAUCCUUUUCAGCAUUAGCUAGCAAAGUUUCAUGGGCUCUAUGCAGAUGGCCUUUUGUGUGUGUGUGUGUGUGUGUGUGUGUGAGAGAGAGAGAGAGGAUUUAACGUGAUUGUUAAAAGUGCUUUCAAUAUCUUCCCUCAAGAGUUGGGCAAAAAACUAGAGCAAUCCUGUAAAAACAUCGCAUGAUAGUACUUGUCAAACUACCUCCACUGAGAACUUUCCAAUUUCUGCUGAAUAGGAAAGCUAUAGUAAGUACCUCAUUUGUUUCUUUUAACCUUUACAUAUGUUCCGAAUUAAACAUAUAGAUAAGGUACUGACAGGCAAAUUAUGAGAAAAGAAAACAUUGCAUUCACUUGUUGGAAUUUUAUAUUGCAAUUUUGUAAGCCCACUUCGCCCUUCAAAAUUUGGUUUUCCAUAGAGUGCAAUACGAUCUCAGAAUUUAACAGAAGUGAGACAAAAGAAUACCUCAUCUGCAAAGAGCUCUUCUAAUACAUCAUUUAUUUGUUGAUCUUCUGCAACCAUGGCCAAUGCCAUGCUGACAAGUUCAUUUGAUAAAACAUAAUCACAAUGCAUCCAAAUAAUUUGGCAGAUGCCUUUAUACACACACGUGGUAUAUGCUCCACAACAUAUUAAUAAUAAUAUUUUUUUGAAAUAGAAAAAAUAUAAAGAAUAAAGAAAAUAUAUUAAAUGUUUUGAAUUUGAUAACAACCUAAUUUUAUGUGGUCCUGAUAAAAAUAUGACCGAAUGGUAUUGGGUCUAAUGGAGAUAGAACCCAACAUUAUUGAACUUUUAUGCAUGAUAAGACGCAUGAAAACUGAAAUCAUUGCUUUGUCUAUAAAAAUAAUAAUAAUAAACUAACAGAUUAGUAGUUUAUUGUACAUCAAAGACACAUAUAACUGUGGAUUAAAAUAAUUACGUCACUAUUUUGCUCUUUUAAAAUAAAAUCAUUUAAUCAGUUAUUAAAAACAAUAUAUUUUUUAUGUUAUCCAUUUAUUAUAACCGUAUUAAAUGAAGAAUGAAGAUAAAUAAGUUUUUAAACAUUUUAAAAAUACAAUGAAAUAACUUAAAUAUCUUUAAAAAUAAAAUUUUUAAAAUUAGGAUCCAUAAGUGUUUCGGUCUUUUAACAUUUUGAUAGUAUAGUGAAAUAACUAUAUUGCUCUUAAAUGUCAAAAAAAAUAAAAUUGAUGUUUAUGGUUUUUUUGUAUUUUUUUCAUGGCUUCUUAGUUAUAAUCAAUGUGAAUUAGGGACAUUUUGGUCUUUUAAAAAUAUAAAUAUAAUUAAAAAAUAAAAAGUGGUUUAUGUUGGUGUCUGAGAGAUGCCUGCACUCUUUGGGCAGCGUAUGCAACAUCUAUCAGCGGACAACCACUGCCUUUUAUGACGGCGUUGAAAGCAUCACAAUAUCAUUUUUCUAGUGGUCAGGUAUGUUUGCAUGGCUUUUUUUCAUUUUUUCUCUCUCUUAACCUCAAAUUUCAUGUUAGCUCUUUCAAAAAUUUAAUGUGUCUUUUUUUUCUUAUUAUUUUAAUUAAUAUUUAUUUUGCUUGAAAUGCAUUUUAAAGUUGAUUUUUUCUUCAAUUUUUUCUUUUAACAUUUUAUUUCUUGUCCUCUUUCAAACAAUAGAGUUAGGUUCUCUUUAUGGUAUAAAUAAUGUUUUUUUUUAUUUUUUCAGUUUGUUUUAAUGUGUUGUUGUAAAAAAGUAUUUUUUUUAAAUAAAAAAUACUUUAAAAAACAAUUAUUAUUUGCUUUCAUAUUAUAUUAUAGUGGUUAUGAUGAUUUGAUUGAGAAGAAUUUGUUAGACAACUAAUUUGAUAUUGUAUUUAUAGUUAUUUUUUAAAAUACUUUUUAUUUAGAAAUCUAUUAAAAUAAUAUUUUUUUAUUUUUUAAAAUUAAUUUCAUAUUAUAACAUCAAAAUAUGUUCUCAUGUACAAAGGGUGCACAUUGUUGAUUCCUGGGAAUUUAUUAUGUACAAAAAGCUUUGGUUUGUUUUGAUGUGUUGCUAUAAAAAGUGAUUUUUUUAAAAAUAAAUAAAAUAAUACAUUGAUAUAUUUUUAAUUAAAAAACACUUUAAAAAAUAAUUAUUAUAACACUCAUAAACACUUUAAAAAUGUUUGUGUGUGCGGGUAAUAUUUUUGCUUUCAUGUUAUAUUAUAAUGAUUAUAAUGAUGAGAAGAACUUCUUAGUGAACCUAUAUCGUAUUGUAGUAAUAUUUAUUUUUUAAAGUUUUUUUUAAAUGAAAAUAUAUUAAAAUAAUAAUUUUUUUAUUUUUAAAAUUUUAUUUUUGAUAUUAAUACAUCAAAAUAAUAUAAAAACAAAAAAAAAUUAAUUAAAAAUAAUUCCUAAAAAUAUUCCAUGUACAAAUGCUUCAUGUCUUGAUAUUUGUUUUUUUAUUAUUUGGUAGGGAAGGACAUCAAGUCUUCGAUCAAAGUGUUUGCUCGUACUGAGUACUCUGUUGACUUCACAUUAUAUUAUAAGGGUUAUUAUUAUUUCAAUGGGAAGAACUUGUUAUGCAUAACUUGUGAACCUGUAUAAAGUGUUGCGUGGAUAUCGCCGGCGAGAAGGAAAAGAUUAGCCAGCGGAGAUAAAAUUGUUGAUCUCUUGAGCUGGUCAAAUACCAUGUCAAAUCUCUUCCAAGGUUUAUCUGGACAUGGAUGAUUCCAGGUUGUAGUUCUAGUGUUGUGAUCAAUAUAAUACGUUUUCCCUGUUGCUGCGUCAGAUCGCCUCUCCCAGCCUGGUGGCAAUGGAGCAGCAUAUGCAUCACCAUAGUUAUUGACUGACUGAUAUAUAACAGUAAGCCAAAUCACUAUCAAGUGAUAUGGCCAACCUCCUGCGUUACUCCACAAAACAUUGCGGAGCACCAAAAUAACUAGCAGCAUUCCAAGGAAUCUGGAAAAAUUAAAACGAAUGACUCCAUUUUGAUGUGAUCUUAUGCAGAAAGCACCAGCAAAAUCAUCGGUGUAGAUGAUUUCACCCCUGCAAUCCUAUUUUUUAAGUCAUAAAUACAUGACAUGCUAUAAAAAUAAAAUAAAUUAAAACUUUUAUCCUUUUAAUUUAACUAAGAAAAUCAUCCUACAACUAUUUUACAGUUAUUUAAAGCAAAUUACAAUAUGAUUAAUUAAUAGAAACAAUGAUUUUUUUAAUUAAUAGAAACAAUUAAAACUAGGACUGAGCAUUUUCGGUGACAAUUUAAUUAUAUUUUUUCCCUUCUAAAAAAAUAACUGUAAACUCUUUAUCUUCUAUGCAGUCGAAUUCCGCCUCAUAGUCAUCACGAGUUUUAGAAUUUCACAAGGUAGAAUUUUAUCUUUUUAAUUUUUUUAAAAUUUUAUUUUUUAAUAUUUAAGUUUUUAAAAAUUCAUCUUCAUAUAUAUUUUACCUUUUAUUUUAAAUUUUAUUUUCUUUUGGAAUCAAAUAUCUCAAUCCUAGUUACUUAUCUAUUAAUCAAGUAUUGAUCUAUUUAUUUUAAUGCACAUAUAUAAGUAUUUUAAUUUAUAAUUAAAAAAAUACCUAUUUAUUUAUUUUUCUAUUAAAAAAAAACUAAUUCAAAAUAAAAUGAAAGGCAAAUAUCUAAUUGUUUUAUAAAAUAAUAUUAUUUUAGUUUGAAAAAAAAAAAACUAAACUAAAACCACUUUGUUUUGAAAUUGGCUUUGCUCAAUCGGCUAAUCAGCGAAUCGGGUUUUGGAUUCGAUCAGACCCCGGACCUGUAUGAAAUCUAUGGUCGGUCCCCACCUGAAGAAACGAGAGGCAGAGAGAAACCAAAGAGAUGAGCUAACGGCAUCGACAAGCCACACGAUUCGAUUCUCUACCAUGAUAUAUAUAUAUAUAUAUAUAUAUAUAUAUAUAUAUAUUGUUUCCUUUGACAAGUCGCAGCACAAAUUCCAAUACCCAUUUUCAGUUUCCUAGAUUUUGAGUAAGUUUUUGAAGUGGGUGGUUUGAUUUAGCUUAGCUUACCGUGUUGUAAAUUGUCAUCUUUUUUGUUGAAUGCUGUACUUGGACGUCACUUUUUGUAGUAUCAUGGUGUUAGUGAUUGUAUUGUGAGGAACCCAGUUGGGGAAUUGGUUUAUUUGUUCUGAAUCCACUCCGGUUUGGUUUGUUUUAGCUUAGUGUGUUUUACUUACUUGUGAGUUAUACACUUGAAUAUGUUGUUUUGUGGAACGAGUUCUUUGUUUUUCAUGAUUUUGUUUAAAAAUGGAGCUCAAGCUUGAGUUUCUAGAAGCCAACUUCAGGAGCGUUCAUCUUGGUAUAAUGAAUUGAAGCGAUCAUGGUUCAGUUUUGCUUAUUUUGAUCCAUUUCUCACUUGUCUUUCAUAGUUUUGAUCCACAUUGAUGCCAUUUGUUUUCACUAUUCGAGAAAGAGGUUACUUUUUUUUUUUCAAGGAAUCCUCUUAUAAGUUGAUUGCUUGUCAGAAAUGGAAAUAACCCUUAUUCAACUUAGCUUGGUUUAAUUACUGCUCUUUUUUUCAUGGGCGAAUUUAGAGAUUGAACUGCAUUUUAAUUGUAAAGUAUUACUUUCAUGCAGAACAUGGAAGCUUGGUGAUUUUGAUAAGGUUUAUAUUGAGUUAACAAAAGAUGUUGCCUGUUUGCUUUGCCACUCAGUGUUGUUCCUCUCAUUCUCAGGUGAGUUUCACUUCCUAGACUGUAAUUUAAUUCGUGUUGUUGCCAAGUUUCUAUCAUCCCUGUACCUUGAAUUUCAUCUAUGCCCUUAGUUUUAGAGAUACAUGGCCUCUAAUUAGGUGGAGAACAAGCCGGGACUAUAAUUGAACUUUCGCUAAAGAGAGAAAUUCUGGUGUCAAAAAAUAAAAGAAAAAAUAUUAGUGUAACUAGACAUGUCUGCCUCUUUAUAAAAUAUGUUUGAUGUAUUUGAGUUGAAAAAUCUGGGGUGCCUAAGUGAAGGUUUUGAAUGAAGGUAUAAAUUAAUCUUCAACUGUUUAAGUAUAAAGGUCAGUAUGACAUCAUGUAGAGCUUAUGUGCCCAAGUGAAGGUUUUGAAUUGAUUCUCAUGCUCUAACAUGGUAUCAUCGUCCAGUUAGCUUUCUCCUUCCUUCUAGGCCUACACAUCAGAGGGAUGCUGAGUAAAUCCCUUAACAACCUAGCAGAAAGUUUUGCAUGGCCUAAUAAUCUGCUUGUACAUCUCCGUUUAGUAGUUUAAGCAUCUGGGUGUGAUUCCCUAGCACCAACUUCCUUCUCAUGUGCAGUGGAUUAUGAUGGCAUUUUCUCUCCGCUUAAGAGUGUGUUUAGCAUUGCUGUCAAAACACCGUUUGCUAAAAAUAUAAUUCUUUUUUCUUAAAAAAUUUUUUUGUUGUUUUUGAACCGUUUUGAUGUGUUGAUGUCAAAAAUGUAUUUUAAAAAAUAAAGAAAACAUUAUUUUGAUGUGUUUUCGAACGAAAAACACUUUGAAAGUAACCGCUACCGCAAUGUCAAACACGCUCUUAAUCUGAUUACUUACAUCAGAAUAUAAAAUUAAGAUAUGAGGUAUGUGAGACUCUUCAAUAUACAAAUUCCUUGUCCACCUUUAAAGAACAGAAUUUGACAAUUUUCAGUGAAGCCUUGCAGGUAGUAACUUCCAUGCACAUCGGUUAUCAAUUCACCAAGUUUUGUUUUAUCAUGUCACAUCUUUCUUCAUAUACCUCUGGCAUAGUAUUUCUAUUGUCAAAAAUUUCAUUCAUGUAUUUGAAACCACAACUAUUGCAGAUAACAUUCCAAUGAGGUCUGCGACCAUUUUGCUCAGUCUGGAAGGAUUUCGAGUCCAGAUGUUAUGUCGUAGACAGGGUACUUUUGGGAAUGUCAAAUAUAACUCAUCACCAAAGAAUUUCCUUCAAAACACAAGCUAUAAAGUCUUUCUACUCCAAUUUUAUUGAAAGCUUUGCUUUCAUUAAUGAUCAUUCUUGCCCAAAUGAACUAGGCAACAUUAAUUGCACCCACACCCUAUGGGAGAGGGUAAACUGAAAUUCUUAGAAAGUUAUAACAUAUCUGAUGUUGAAAAAGGACAUUUGAACUCUGCAGACCAGUUUGUUGAUAAUACAGAUAGUUUAAUAUGACUUGUGGAACUUGAAAUAACAUCAACUAUUGAUAUGACACCAGAGAAUCCCAGUUUGGGAUCUGAUUCCCUGGAAAUGGAUAACGAUUCAUUAUCUAGUGCAAAGGCUGCUUUUGAUUAUUUUUUGGGCGAGGUUAGGGACUCCAUCAACACUUCAAUAAAUAAUGGAGGAAAUGUUGUGCAAAGCUCACUAGACACAAUUACUUCUUCAAUAAUAUUGUUUAAGGAAAGUGCUUCAGAAGCAGUAGAUGGUGCCUUGAGUAAAGUAUUCUCUACUUUUGAUCAAACAGGAGAAUUAGCUGGCGAUAGAUUGACUAACUUUUCAUCUGGUUUGAGGGAAGCCACACAAAAUGCUACUGGCACUUCUAUUGAUGUGCUCAGAGUUGCAAUCGCUGCAGUGGAGGAAUCUAUAGCAAAAGGGGCUUCUUUUAUUGUUUAUUCUUAUGGGCCUGCCAAGGAUUUGCUUCCUCCAAAGAUCAGAGGCGUGCUGAAUCUGUCUGAAGAAAGGAUAACACAGAUUUUGAGGCCAAUUGGUGCAACUUUUCAACAUGUACAUUAUGCUUGGCACGUUUUACUUUGAUGGCUGUUGUACUCUCAUUUAAUUGUAUGGACUUGAAAAAAAAAAAAAAAAUCUCCUGCAAAGAUAUAUUUGGAUUAUUUUAGAAAUCUUUUUGUUGGAGACAUCAGUCACUGCUUUCAGCUUACAGGACUUCUAGUUGAAAACUCAAUUACGUCCAUCUCUGUUACAUUGCUUAAUUAUGUGUUGAUCUAACUAAUUUAUGAUCCAAAACCAAAGCUGAAUUUCCUAAACCUGCUUUUACACCUUAAGCAGGUUUACAUUGCUAUUGAGGGGCUGGAGAAAAGGCUUGGCUUGGAUCCAAAUGAUCCAGUUGUGCCUUUUGUUCUUUUCCUUGGAACCUCAACCACUUUGUGGUAUGGAUGUCCUUUUGUGCAUAAAGAUUUGUUUAUUUAACCUGCAUUACAUGGGAAGCUUAAGUUUUCUACCAGAUUUGUGCAGGGGUUUUUAUAGGGUGUGGGUAUAUGGUGGUUACUCUGGAGAUUUGUCUCCGCAAUUAACUUUGGAGCUCUUGGCAGGGAAGGAAGACGCCAUACUUAUUGAUGUCCGGCCUGAGGCAAGAGAGUAAAUUUUCUGGCCUUUUAUGUUCUUAAGUUUCUUUUGUUAGAAAUUCUAGUAUCUCAAUGAGAGACACUAAAGCUGACUGCUCAGACAUUUACUGAAGGGUCUGUAUUGUUUUUUCAACUCUGUUCAUUAAUACAUUCCAUCUUGUAGCUACCCCAUUUCAUAUUUUCAAUAGUUAAUUUCUUUUCACUAGGAAAUAUUACUUACCAUCCACCUUUCUACCCCAUUUCUUUUACAUCACGGUAAAAAAAUCUCAAAUUUGGCACCCUCAUUAAUUUCCUUUUUUUCCCGUUAACUUGGCAUUGAACUAGGUGGACAUUGUUUAUAUGAUGGUUCUCAUAGAAAGAGAUGGCAUUCCUGAUCUUAGGCGAGCCGCUCGGUUUUGCUAUGCAAGUGUAACUCUACCAGAGGUUGGUUUUAUUUGAUAAUACUAUUCUAAAGCUAUGAGUGGAGAGGUAUUGCUAUUUGGUAUGAGGAUGAUAGUUUAGAACAAUUACUUUGUUUCUAAAUGUCAAAUAACUCUUUGAACCAACAAUAAAAAAAUAAAACAAGAAUUGGAGCUUGGCUGUAUCCCUUUUUCAUAACUCUGUCUUAUAUUCUUCAACUUUAUUCUGGUAGAUGGCCCAGUAAGGAAGCUUUUAAAGGGUGGACGGAUCUUGAUGACAUCUUAAUUGCCUCAGUCAUUCGAAACUUGAAAGCUGUACAGGUAUAGCUUUAUGUUUUAAGAGCUUUGAUAUAACUAUUGUUUAUGCAUGCUGUCAUUGUUUCGAGACAUUCAGAAAAAUGAGAAUUCUGAGUGGUGCAAGACAGAAAGGAAAUUCUCGGGGGGAGUGAUUUGGGUUUGGUUUAAUCGAUGUUGUGUGUUUUAGCAUCAGUGGCCUCUGAGGACACAAGAAAUUGUUUUGGUAUUACCAUAUGCAGUACAGUCGCUACAUCACAAUCUCCUGAGUGUUCCAUUUUUAAAUCCUGAAGCAGGAACAUUGUCUCAGAGAUUUUUUUUUUCUUAUACUGUAGGACAAGUACCAGGUAAUGGUUAUGGAUGCUGAUGGUUCUCGUUCUAAAGGCAUCGCUAGAUCCUUGAGAACGCUUGGGGGUUAAGGCAAGUAUUUGGAAUCUCUAAGAAUUUUUUUUUAUCACAUAAAAGCCUAAACAUCUAAUUCAUCAUGGAACUAGAAGGGCAAAAUGAAUUUAUCCACUCUCCCUUAGUCAAGUUUCUUUGGGAUAUAAAACAUUUCUGAGAGUUUUUCAGUAUCAGUAACCUUAGAAACAAAUAACAAUAUCCAUAUUAACCAGAUUUGGGAAGAGUACAUUAAUGUCUUAUGUGCAUUUACAAUGUUGUUAAGUCAAAAACCGUUACUCCUUAUGCAUGUUUUCUGUCGUAUAAAUGCUAUAGAUAGAACCCAAUUUUCAUUCCGGUUGUUCUCAAGUGGUAUAAUUCAGAAAGCACAUUAGUAUUACAUCUAACUUAUGUCCUUAAAAUCUCUCUCUCUCUCUUAAAAAUAAUAAAAAAAAGUCUUUACCUUGCUUGAAUGGGAAGUUGCAAUGUAUUAAUCAAUUUCAAUAUUCUUUUAUUUCACUCCAUAGAUUGAUGUAAAUGGCUUGUAGAGAAACAAGUUAAAUGCAUGAAUUUUAGAUGAUAUCAUGGUUCAUUCCUGUACUAAUCAUAUAAUUUAGAUAGAGAAGAUAGUAGAAUUUUGCAGAAUUAAACUUUGUGACCUGUAUUAUAAGAAAAUUUGAACUGCCAGGUUAGUCUAUUGUUAAUCUGGAACCACAACCUAUUGUAUCAUAUUGCUAAUUGUUUGUUUGCAUUUUUAUGUGACAAAGACCAUACUUGGUCCAACGUGGCUUCCAACCUUGGGUAAAACAAGGUAUCCAAGCUAAGGAGCUGAAACCUGAGACCAUGCCAACCAUACUUAAUGAGGUAAGGUUAUUGCAUGACUUGCAUAUUCUCUUAACUAGUAUAAAAUUCUAGAAAUACAAAAUUCUAUUUCCCGAAAGCCAUUGAUCAACUCAAAGUAUAUGUGUGGACAAUGACAAGCUGUAGAUUAUACAAUAAUAUAUUCGGCCAACUGAGAUAAACCUAGAGAGUUGAUUAAUUUGACAUUUAUUUCAAAAACACAUGAAAAGAGUGAAAUUUCUUUGUUGGGUGCACAUUGGUGCACAAUGGAUACUAUCAAAAUGGUAUCCACACCGCAUAGAACAACAUGCACACACAGAGGCAUAUGAGAUGUACUUGUGUCUGUGCAGUGCGUGUGUAAAUUUACAUGGAGAGACUUAUUUCAAAAACAAAUAAAAAGAUGUGCUAUGUGCAAUCACACUUGUAUGAACACGUGCAUCAUGAGUGUUUGUAUAUAUGUAAUUGAUGGGCUACCAUAAACUGGGUAUGCAGGCCAUAGGAAUUGUGUAUGUUUCGACACAUGACGGUUUUCUUUUUCUUUUCUUUUUUGUUGCUGUCCUCACAUUCUUCUUGUCCACCAAGCUUGAACUUUGUUUCAGAGUGGGAGAAGACCUUACAAUUUAUUGCCAUCACUGGCCUCAGUCAGGUAUACUUUUAUUUGUUAUAGUGCUCUGGUUAAUGUUUUUUUUACACACACAGAUGUUGAUUGUUGAGCUGAUAAUGGUUAAAACAAACUUCACACAUUCUGAUAUUGUGCUAGUACUCAGAUCCUUUGAUGUAUUCUGUAAAAAUAGCAUGUAUAUGACCAUUAAGCUAGAUUCCCUUUGUCUAUUUUGCACGUGUUCUAGGGAAAGGUUUAUGUCAUUGAUAAAUUUAGUUAAGUAAACCUUGAGUUUCUCUAAUUAUUGGUUUCUCACACUCCGCCAGACUAUUUAUCAGUGGGUUUCUUCUUAUAAUGGCCCUAAAGAUUUUAAGUAAGAUGUGAGAAGUACUUUAGACACAUAGAGGUAAACAUGUGAUUUGCAGAAGCAAAUAUUCAAACACGCAACUAGAAAAAUUGUUCACAUACGUGUGGUUAUGGCGCAUCCCUAGCUUGGACAAAGAAAAAGACGCAACUAGCUCUUAAGAAUUCUUAGUUGUCUGCAUUGAAGUCUCAGCUAACUUUCAAUCCUUCUCGAGGACUUGUAAGUAGGUUAGGUGCAGUUCUAGGUUUUGUUUCUGAGAUCACGUUUCAAUUGGCCUCACGCUAACCACUUCAUGAGGGAAAACCUCACAAACUUUAUAAUAACUAGGACGGAGACUACUAUUUUUGUCUUGUUUUUCCUUGGGUUAAGCUAAACGUCAGAAACAUGUUAUACGACUAAUUUCUGUCGUUUUUAUAAUGACACCCUUGUUUUUUCUUUUUCUUUUUUCUUUUUUCUUUGUGACGUGGAGACGCUCAUCUCGUAUAAAUUAAUUUUUUUGUAGUGGGUAACUUAUAUUUUUGUGAGAGGUCGGAGUACAGCUCGUGACAUAUCUAAUAUCUCUUUGAUGGACCCCCGGUGUAGGAGAGGAAUGCCAGACCCAUGGCCUGCGAAUCGUGGAUGAAAAGAACAGGGCAGACAAUCUAUAAAUUGAAAUGCUUAAACUCAACGAUAUGGGAAUUCUUCAAUGAAAUGCUAUUUAAUUAGCAUUAGUAUUUCUCUUUUCCAAAAGAUCUUCCGUUCAAACCUUUUUUUUAAUUAGAAAAAACCAUGGAAAGUUGAGCCGUGGACAUGUACCCACCACAAAUUUUGUCAAGAGAUUCUAUGGAUCCAGUUUUAUAAUGAGGUUGGUUAGCUGUAAAGGUCCCCAAUUCGGUUCAAAAAAAUUUUGUUUGAAUUAAUUUUGUUACCUUUUAUUUUAUUUUUAUAUUUCUUAGUUUUAAGUUUAUUUAUUUAUUUAAAGAGUUAUAAUAUAUGCAAUAACAGAAUCUUGAAUACUUACUGUUUUUCUUUUGUUGUUAGUAUUCAUUAGUUAGAUGGUUGUUACAGUUAGUUGAGUAAUUAGUUGAAUAACAGAGAGUUAGUUCAUUAGUCAGUUGCAAGGAAAUAACAAUAUUUACAACUAUCUUGAAAACCAAGUAAUAAUUUAAGAACAAUUUGCAGUAAUUACAGAACUCUCUCCCUUUCAAUCUCUUUUAUUUCUCCCUCAAUUUAUUUUCUUCUGAACUUUUAUUUCUCCCUUUCAAUUUCUUUUAUAUCUCCCAAAAUUUUCUUUUGAACUUUUUGUCCGCCCGUAGAUUUUCAUCAAAGUGCAGAUACACCCCACAGCUUUUCAACUCGAAAGGCCUUCGGCUCUCAUGAUCUCGCAUCCUUCCCCAGUAGAAUUUAAAAGUAACUUCAUUGUCGGAAUAUUUACGUAAAUGAUUUACCAAUUUGAGCUCGUAGUGUAGAAUCAUGUGAUCUGAGUCACAUGGCUUGAUCAAGUAACGUAAUAGAAGGCUUUUCUGGGAAUCUAAGACGACUUCAUCAUCACCAUCAUGCUCACUGUUUUUACUCUUAACAUGGUAAUCAAGAUAUAAAUUAACAUCAAUAUCAUCGACUUUAUAAGGCAUGUCCUGGGAGGGAGGAGGGAGGAGGGAGUAGAAAGACAAGGCAGAAAGCAAUUCCCUUGAGCUGAUGACAAUUUGAGGGCAACUGUAUGGUGAGUGAAGAUCCAAUUCCUUUGUCACCGAACCAUUCUGGAAUUUCACUCCCCGGUAGAACCAUUUGAAUUCUGCCAAGUGGGAUCUCCUCUCCGGAAUGUAACACAAAAGUCACAUUUCAAAAAUGUGAUGAAGCAAGCAAGAGAGAGAGAAGAAAGAAAGAGAAGGGGGUUUAGAGAGAUACCUGAAUUUUCAAAUGCAUUGCCUCUAUCUGUUCUUUCUGAUCCAAUUUGAAGCAAUUUGUAAAAUCCCUUUGAAACCGUAAUGUCAGCGAAGAGGGAAUCUCAGGUAACGCUUUAAUAGCUGUUCCAUGGAAAGUCAGAUGUUGCAAACAUACCAUAUCUUUGAUUGACAAGGGUAGCUCUUUGAUAGGUGUUCCAUGCAAUUCCAAAUAUUCCAAAGAUACCAUAUCUUUGAUUGACAAGGGUAGCUCUUUAAUAGGCGUUCCAUCUAAUCUUAGAGUCGUCAAAGAUAUCAUAUGCUUAAAUGAUGAUGAGGGUAUCUCUUUAAUGCCUGUUUUACUCAAGUAAAGAUAACGCAAGGAUUCCAUAGGCACUGUGAUUUCUGGGAAGCUCUCAAGUUUUGAGCAACCACUCAUAUCCAACGUUUCGAGUCUUGUGAGAAACUGGAUUGAUGAGGGCACCUCUUUAAUAGCAGUUCCCUUUAGUUCUAAUGUUUUUAUAUCCUCUAAAUUCUCCGGAAACUUGGUCAUCUUUGAGCAACCACUUAGAUAAAGAUAUUUCAACCGGCCAGUAACUGAUUGUGGAACUUCUUUGAUUGAAGUUUGUUCCAACUUUAACCAUACCAUAUUUUGUGAAAUCGUUGGACACGUGGUCACAUCUAGGCACCGACUUAUAAUAAGGAAUCUGAGAACCUUUGAAUAAAGCAUUGGAAAACUUCUAAGAUUAUAGCAAGAACGGAGAUUAAUUACUUCCAGCUUGUCAAGAUAUUGAAGAGAUGACGGAACCUCGGUUAAACUUGGACAGUCCGUAAGAUCUAAGGACACUAAAUUUUUGGCCAUUGAUAGAUCUGGCAAUUCCGUCAAAUAUGGAGAGUUAGAUAGGUUAAUUCUUCUUAAAUUUCCAACAUCCUGUCAACAGAAAUAGGCAUAAUUAGAAAGUUAGCACCUCUCCAACUUCAUAUUUCUGAUCAUAAAUCUGCAGCAAUUAAAUCAUACCUUUACUCCGGUCCAAAGUUUUACAAGCUUGCUCCUGCUUAAGUUAAGCUCGACAAGAUGUUCAGCACAAAAAACACGCGGCAAGGAUUUUGAAGGGAAUCCAUGGCAUUUCAAAUAUCUCAGCUUAUUAGGAAGAUAUUCGAGGCCAGUAGGAGGAAGGUUCAUUGUAAAUUCAUUUUCUUGGAAGGAACCAACAUAGAAACUGAGAAAUCUAAGACCAUCCAUCAUUGCGAAGGCAUCAGAUUUCAAGUGUAUGUGUCUUGGUAACCAGUCCAAAGAUAUGCCUUUAAUUUUUAAUUGAUUUCCCUGUUAAACAAGAAUAAAGAAUAAACAAACAAUAGUACAAUCUACUCAAACACGUCAACUUUUGAGCAAAAACAUGAACGACAGUUAAUGGAUGUAGCUUUAACCUUAUUUUCCUCCAAUACUUGAACGACAUCAGGAGGAUAACAUAACCUGCUACGUUCGCCAGGAAAAUCAGAUUCUGCACGAACAAUGUUAAAUGCCAUUUCUUGUAGUAAAUCAUGCAUUUCUAGCCUAUCAUAAUCAUCAGUAGUUAUGAGACACUUAUCAAUGAGCGUGCUUAUAUCGAACUUCACAGAUCGACCAUAUAAGCAAUCUAAUAUUCUUGUUGCUUCGUCUUGGUCCAAUCCUAUGAAGAAAUGUGCUAUGUCAAGAAAUAUGGAUUUUUGUUCUGAAUCCAACCCAUCGUAACUAAUUCUCAACGCCCUUUCGAUUCGAGGGUGCUGAGCUAGUUUAUUCAAUGCACUGCGCCAUUCUUCGAUGUUUUUACCAUAGAGAGAGGAACCCAAAACUAUAAGAGCCAACGGAUUGCCUUGUACAUGACUUACAAUCUUUUCUAUCAAUUCUCUAUGAUCAAUUGUGGGGUUGCAAUUCUUCAAGGCAUUCGAGCUAAAGAGUUGAAUAGCUUCUUCAUCGUUCAACCCCUCAACCUCGUAUGUCUCAUCAACUACAUUACUAAGCACUUGCUUGUCCCUACUGGUUAUGAGAACUUUACUGCCCGGACCAAAUGAAUUGUUUCGUCCAUCAAGCAAAUCUUUCCAUUCUUCAAAACGCAUUAAAUCAUCCACAUUAUCCAGAACAAUAAAAACCUUUAUUCGACGAAGUCUAUCCCUCACAAAAGAAUCUCGAAAACUCAAGGAGCCCAUAGUGUUCAGAGUUUCUUGGCCAAGCAGUCGUUUAAGAAAUUUUCUUCGCAAAUCAGAUUGUUGCCUAAAGUUUUCAAAAAAGAUUCCAUCAAAUCGAGAACGAACCUCGUUGCACACAACCUGAGCAAUCGUUGUUUUACCGAUACCACCCAUUCCCCAUAUCCCUACAAUGAGAACAUCUGGAGACUCCAUAUUUAACAAAGACUCAACUUUGCUAACAUGAACAUCAAUUCCAAUUAGACCCGUCAUAAUAUGACUUGAAGACAUGACAUGUAAUUUGUUCAAAACAUCUCCAACGAUUUUCUCAAUAAAUUCAGACUCCAGCCUAACAAACAAGAAGAGCACACAUAAUUGUUAGUCAAAAUGGACCGGACAAGAAGAAACAUAUAAACAUACUCACUCCUUAGUAGCUAUAUCUAUACAUAGUAGACACGUAUGAGUAAUUGAGCAUCAUUAUUGGCAAUGGAUAGUGCUAAUGUAACACAUGAAUCGAUGAUAACAUUGAGUUGAGUGAUAUGUAAAAAUACAUGACAUUUUUCAGUGAUAUGCAUGUAACACAUGAAUCGAUGAUAACAUUGAGUUCAGUGAUAUAUAACACAUGUAAAAACUAGAAACUACAUGUAAUCGGUGUUUAUCUAAUAAAAUCAAUUAAAUGCAAAUGCAUAUGAUGUUUUCUCAUGUCAUCCUUUUCACCUCAAACAAAUAGAAUAUUAUUUAACGACAAAAGAAAACAUUGUCUGUCCUUGUAAAAUUAUUUAAAACAAAAAGAAUAAUUAAAAAAAAAACAUUUUGAAACAUAAAAACAAACAACCACUUAAUAUCAAUACAAGCCUUAAUAUUUAUACAAGUAUUUUGCUACAAAUAAUAUUUUUUUUUCAAAUUAUUUUUAAUAUAAACAUAUUAAAAUAAUUUAAAAACAUUAAAAAAUUAAUUUAAAAUAAAAAUAAUUAAAGUUUUUACAAAACAUUUUAAAACACAAAAACAAACAACCACUUAAUAUCUAUACAAACAUUUUAUAUUAAAUAAUAUUUUUUUAUUUUUUAAAAUAUUUUUUUAAUAUAAAACACAAAUAAUAUAAAAAACUAAAAUAAAAUAUUUAAAAAAAAAACCAUUUUAAAACACAAAACAACCAACCACUACAACGUUUUCAAAAUCAAAUAAAAUAAAUAUAAAUUCACAGAGCUCAUCAUUCUCAAUAAUUUUAAAUUAAAUUUCAAAUCCUCAACAAAUGAACGAAUAUUUUCUCAUGGGAUAUAUUUCAAGAGCUUACUCAGAAUUCCCUAAGCUCCAUCCAGAUAGAUUGGCUGCAUCCGUCAAAGCGUCUCUGAAGCUCUGCACUUCUUCCAACGUCAGAGCUUUAUUCCUUAUAAGUCUAGCAAAUGCAUCCCCAAAGCUUCCAGUUUGAUUUCUUACAUGGGAUGGAUCCACCUUGUAAAAUACUGGAAUAACUAUAUGUCCAUUUUUUUUUCCACGUUCAAAAAUCUUUGCAAGCUCCUCCAAGCACCUUUUGGAAGAUGCAUAGUUUUCAGAAAAAACAAUCACAGAAAGCUUGGCCUCUUCAAUUGUUCUCAGAAGUGAUUCCGGAAUCUCAUCUCCUCUAACAUGCUGAUCAUCUUCGAAAGUUAGGAUUUGUUUCCGUUUCAAAGCAGCAUGGAGGUGGCUGGUAAAACCAACACGAGUUUCUUCUCCUCUGAAACUAAGGACGACAUCACAUUUAAUUCCUUGUGGCUGGGCGGUGGUUAAGGUGGAAGGAGUAGAUGGCGAUGGAGAUAUAUGACGGCUUCGUAUGAUGAAUCUCCAGAUAUAAGCAAACAUUUCGAAGAAACAAGAGUAAGACUCUGGUGGUAAGGGAGGUCUGGAGGGAGAGAGCGGAAGUAACUCAAGGAAAAAAGAUGAGGCUGAUUUUGAGUCAGUAGCUUAGGCUCUACGUAUAAAUUUAUAAUAAUGGGGGCAUCAAAUCCAAGAAUUUUCUUAGGCAUUACGGAAGUAACCAUUUGUUGAUUUCCUGGAAAUUCCCCAGUUACAAAGUGAUGUGAUAGUUUUUUAUAAAUUUAAUUUUUUUUUAAUUAUUUUUUUUUAGUUUUUUUAUUAUUUUAAUUUACUGAUAAAAAAAUAAUUUUUAAAAAUAAAAAACAUAAUAGAUACCUUUUUUAAUAUUUCAAAGGUAUUAGCUAUUCACUUGGCGGAGUAGCAGAUCUUUUGUUUUUUUCUCUUCGACUUUUUUAUUAUAUAUUUUUUUAAAACACUAAACACUUCUGUGUGUCCCACAGCGAUCAUUCUUUAGUCUAUUAAUUUGUACUUCAAAUUCUUUUAUAAUUUUCCUGGAAAUUACGAAUUUCUUGUCUUUGUUCUUUAAGGAACGGUUGCUUUUGAUAAUGAUCAUAUCAAAAUCCGUCAGAGCACUUUUUAGAAAUAUACUGUGUUUUAUAAAAAAAUAAUUUUUGAUUUAAAUUUAAUCUUUUUAAAUUUUUUUAUAUACUAAAAUUAAAAAUAAUUUUUAAAAAAUAAAAAUAAUAUUUUAAUACAGCCCAAGGGAGCUGCCAUGCACAUGGUAGGAAAGGCGCUUUUAUCUUUGCCUAUAAACAAUAUUUUUAUAAAUUUUGAUUUUUUUUUAUUUGAAAUUUUUUUUUAAUUUUUUUCAGUUUGUUUUAAUAUCUGAUAUUUAAAAUAAUUUUUUAAAAAUAAAAAAUAUAUUAUUUUAAUUUAUUUUUAAAUAAAAAACAUUUUAAAAAUAAUUAUUAUUAUAUUCGUAAACAUCUUCUAUAUCUUCGGUCCAAGUAUUUGCUUUGCGGAGGAUUUUUUUACCUUCAUAUUAUAUUAUAAUGGUUAUGAUGAUUUAAUUGAAAAGAACUUCUUAGAGAGCUUGAUAUUGUACUAGUGAUUAUUUUUUAAAUUAUUUUUUAUUAAAAUACAUAAAAAUAAUAUUUUUAUUUUUUAAAUUUUAUUUUUGAUAUUAAAACGUUAAAAUAAUAUAAUUAAAACCAAAAACAAUUAAUUUAAAAUAUACAAAAAAUAAAAAAAAUUCAAAUUCAAGUAUUUUCUCUCGGCAUUUCAGGAAAUUUUCCAUGCAGAAAAGGCUUCAAGUCUUGUUAUUUGUGAUGCGGUAGGAAAGGGCAUUUAGGUUUUUGUUUGUCUUUGCUGUGUAAUCAAUGUUUUAAUAAAUUUUGAAAUUAUUUUAUAUUUUAUUUUAGAUUAACUUUUUUUAGUUUUUUUUUGUUUAUUUUGGUGUUUUGGUGUUAAAAAUAAUUCUUUAAAAGUAAUAAAAAAAAACAUUAUCUUAAUGUAUUUUCAAUCAAAACAUAUUUUAAAAAUCAAUUUCUACUACACUCAUAAACACCCUUUAUAUCUUCAAUCCAAGUGUAUGCACAUGCCAAAGACUUUUUUGCAUUCAACCCUAUUGUAUAAUGGUUAUGAUUAUUCGAUUGAGAAGAACUUGUUAAAGAAUCUAUUUGGUAUUGAGAUAAUAAUUGCUAAUCAAGAUAAUUUUCAUUUGAAAAUAUAUUAAAAAAAAAUUUAAAUUUUUUUUUAGUAUCAAUAUAUUAAAACAAUAUAAAAAUAUAAAAAAUUAAUUAAAAAUAAAAAAAUCAAAUCCAUGUAUUUUCUCAGACGUUAGAGAGGGUGCACAUCUACUUGGAAAUUUCCUGUGGACAGAAAGGCUUAAUGUCUUGUUAUUUGUUUUUUCUUUUUGUGAUUUGGUAGGAAGGGUAUCGAGUCUUCCAUACAAGUGUUUGCACGAACUAGGACUUUGUUGACUUCCAAUUAUAUUAUAGUGAUUAUAAUUAUUUCAUUGGGAAACACUUGUUACUCUGCCCCAAUAAUAGGAAUUUUUUAAAAAACAAAUUGAUACAGUUAGAGAAAUAAUAAUAUGGUUUAAUUUUAUUUAAAAAGGAACAUGGUUUUUUUUUAUAAAAAAACUGCUAUUUUAAACUACGAUUUUAAUAUAAAAGCGAUUCAGAAUCACAAUCGUGGUUCUGUUUACUGCUUUUGGCAAUAUAAUUGGCAUGCAUCCAUGUAAUUAUAACUACUUCUUUUUACAUGCUUUCUUCCACCUCAUUACACACAAUCUAUUCAAAUAAAUCGGCAGAUGCCUUUUCCUUUUCCUUUUAUAUAUAUUUAUUUAUUGUGAAGAAAAAAGAAGAAAAAGAAGUCGUCUUGAAGGAGAGAGGAAGGGACUGGGGAUCGACGGGGCCAAUCCUCUGGGACGACGACUUGACCUUAAGUACUCUUCCUGGCGAGUGCUUGGGCAGCGUGUUCGGGAAGCUGAGUUUGGAAAUUACGUGUUUCUCGUCAUCUUGGCUGUUGACGAGAAAAAGAAGAAGAAGAAGAACAAACAGUAAAAUAAUUAUUUUUAUCAUUUAACUAGCUAGAUUUUUUUUAUAAAAUUCAUUUAUCAUGGUCAUUGUUGUAAUUAUCAAAGACAAAAUAAUUUUUAAACAUUUUAAAAGUACAAAAAAAUAAUUUAAAUAUUCUUAAAAUAAAGUUCUUAAAACUAAUAUUCAUGAGUAUUUUGGUCUUUUUAACAUUUUCAUAACAAAAAUAACUAUAUUACUCUUAAAAAUAUAAAAUAAAAAUAAAAUAAAAAAGAAGUUCUUAAAACUUUAUUUUUUUUUUAAUUUUCCAGGUUGAACUGAGUUAACCCAUAAAACCCGAGACUCGGUCCCUUGGCCGGGUUAACUUCCAGAUCGAGUUUAAUAACUAUAGUUUUUGUAUGUCGAUGACAUUUUUGCCUAACAUUAUAUUAUAAUAGCUAUCAUAAUCUGAUUGAAAAGAAUUUGUCAGAGAAAUUAUUUGUCAUUGUAAUAAUAAUUAUUUUUAAAGUAUUUUUAACUUCAAAAUAUAUCAAAAUAAUAUAUAUUUUUUAUUUUUUAAAAUUAAUUUUUGAUAUCAACACAUUAAAAUGGUAUAAAAAAUAAUAAUUUAAAAAUAAAAAAAUAAAAAAAUUCUACUCAUUUCUUUCCGCUUUCGUUUUUCUGCUUAAGGCUGGAUGGGGGCCAAAAAUGAUAUGCAAGCUCGAAAAUGGUAAGGGUAAAAAAAUUCAAGCUUGCAUGUCAUUUUUGGCCUCCAUCCAACCUAAAGCAGAAAAACGAAAGCGGAAAGAAAUGCUUUUUCUUAAAACCUUGAUCCAGUGACCUUAGUUUAGAUUAUAUUUAAAUUCAUUCAGAUAAAGAUUAACCCUAUUCAUGAAAAUUUAAGAUUUAAAUUAUUAAUCAGAUGAAAAAUUAAAUUAUUCUAGUGUUAGUGUAGGGUUUAAGUAAUAGACUGCCACUAAACUAAGCUACUUAGAUAAGCUCAAAACAAUUGAACUCUUAUUCAUGAAAAUUUAAAUUAUUUCUUUGUCAACGAAGAGGGCUGGACAACUUGCUAUGUCUUUUAAUUAAAAUUAAAAUAAAAUUAAAAACUAAAAAUUAUUCGUAAUUAUAAGAGACAAAAUAACUCUUAAAAAUAUUAAAAGUACAAAAAAAUAAUUUAAAUAUUCUUAAAACUAAUAUCCACGAGUGUUUUGGUCUUUUUAACAUUUUCAUAACAAAAAUAACUAUAUUACUCAAGAAAAAUAAAAUAAAAUAAAAAUAAAGAAGAAGUUGUCUUGAGUAGGGACCGGGGAUGGGCCAAUCAUCUUUUUGAUGGUCGGGCAAUAAUAGCCAUUUGGAUGGGGACGACGACUUGACCUCGACUCUUCCAGGCAAGUGCUUGGGCAGUGUGUUUGGGAACCUAAGUUGCCUUGACAUUACGCAAUUAUGUAUUUCUUGUCUUAACGGUGGCUUUCGAUGAUUAAUGGUCAUAAUCAUUAGAGACAAAUUAAUUUUUAACCGUUUUAGAAGCACUGAGGAAUGUUUCAAAUAUUCUUUGAAGUAAAAUUUUAAAAACUGGGAUUCAUGGGUGUUUCGGUAAAAUAAUUAAACUAAAAUUUUUAGUUAUAAUCAAAGUGAAUGAGAGAUAUUUGCAUCUUAAAAGCAUUCGUGUUUUUUUAGUAGACAGCACAUGUGACAUUUCUCCGCAAACACGUGUGCAUGACCGGGGAUGGGCCAAUCCUCUUCUUCAUGCCCCUGCAAUAAUUGUUAUAUUGAAGGGACGAUGACUUACACUAAGUAUGUAUUUAGAAGUAUAGUUGUGAUUUUUUUUUAAUUAUUGUUAUUUUAAAAUAAAUUAAAAUAAUAAUUUUUAUUUUUAAUUUUUUUAAGAUUAUCAUAUCAACAAUAAUCUAAAACAUAGAAAAUAUAUUAACUUUUAAUAAAAAAAAUUUAAUUUUUUUAAAAAAUAUAGCUUUAACCACGUUGCAGACGGCGUCGGCAGAUGCAGAUGCCUUUUCUUUUUUUCUUUUUUAUCGGCAGAUGCCUUUUUCUUUUUAGAUGUCUUUUGCCUUUUUCUUUAUAUAUAUAUAAAGAAAAAAGAAAACACGUAAUUUCAAGGAAGACAUAAGGUCAAGUCGUCGUCCCCACCCAUCGAUAUGGCUAUUAUUGCCCGAGCAAUAAUGUCUUGUGGACAUAAAGGAUUCAAAUAUUCUUUGAAGUAAAAUUUUAAAAACUAGGAUUCAUGGGUGUUUCGGUAAAAUAAUUGAAGUAAAAUUUUUAGUUAUAAUCAAAGUGAAUUAGAGACAUUUGCAUCUUAAAAGCAUCCAUGUUUAGACAGCACGUGUGACUUUUCUCCGCAGACCAACACCACUUUUUACGACUGUAUUAAAGCAUAACGACGUCAUUUUUUUAAUGGUUAGACACGUGUGCAUGACUGCGUAAUGGUUUACCUCCAACAAUUAUUGCUGUAAUUAGAAGAAACAUAUAUUCUCGUGUAUAUCAUAUCACAACUGUGAUAGAUAAUUUUCAUGAUGUGAGCUUGCAUGUCAUUUUACGCCUACAUCCAAUCUUAUGCGGAAAAACGAAAGAGGAAAGAAAUACUCAACGAUUUUAUGAGAACCUGAAAACGAAUGUUUUUUCAUCUCAUUUCUGGCCUCCACUAACCUUAGUUUGGACUAGAUUUAAAUUAAAAUAGAUGAGAAUUAUCGCACAAAACUACUAAAACUAAGAACUAUGAAUAUAUUUUUGAGACUUUUACUGAUAACAAAAUGAACUAUGAACAAUCAGUACUAUCAAUGGUCAUAUUAAACUACAUGUACAUAAAAAAAUAAAAUUACAAAUGCAGUAUCCACCGAGUUUAAGUUUUGAGUUACAAAGUUAUCUACACAUACCAUGCAUUGAUUGCAUUGAUGAUAUGAGAACCUGAAAAUAAACCCAAUAAACCUUCAAAGUACAGGUCUUUAAAAUAAGAAAAAAAAAAUUCUUGAUAUGAACUGAUCAUAUGAAAAUGAUAAGAGAAAAAGAGGGAACCUGCUAAGGGGUUUACUGAUAAUUAAUCUUCAUGUGAACAGAGGGCACAUUUUUUUUUUAUCCUUUUCUAACACUUUUUUUUUCCAGUUUAUCUUAAACGUUAGAUUUACUGAUAAUUAAAUUUUAGAUUUUUAUUUUUCUCCGUGCGAGGUUUUCCCUUUGUAUGCAGCCCCUUUAACAGUUAAUCUGCAUUACAUGGGACAUGGAAAGUGAGCUCAGAAUAGGAAAAAGAUGUGAAUUUGUUGACUACACAUUAUAUUAUAAUGGUUAUUAUGAUUUUAUUGGAAAGAAAUAAUGAGUUAUAUUACUCAUUAUAUUAGUCUGCCCCUAUAAUUGGAAUUUUUUAAAAAAAUGAUACAGUUAGAGAAAUAAUAUGGUUUAAUUGUUUUUUAGAAAACAACAUAGUUUCAAAAAAUCUGCUAUUUUAAAUCUUGAUUUUAAUAUAUCUGUGAUUUUGCAAAACCACAAUCUAUCCAAAUAAAUCGGCCUUUUUCUUUCUCCUUUAUAUAUAUUUAUUUAACUGAUGACAGAAUGAACUAUGAACAAUCAGUGCUAUCAAUGGUCAUAUUAAACUACAUAUACAUAAAAAAAAUAAAAUUACAAAUGCAUUAUCCACAAAGAGUAAGUCUUGAGUAACAAAGUUAUCUACACAUACCAUGCAAUGAUGAUACGAGAACCUGAAAAUAAACCCAAUAAGCCUUCAAAGUCCAGGUCUUUAAAAUUAGAAAAAAAAAUCUUCAUGUGAACUGAGCAUAUAAAAAUAAUAAGAGAAGAAGAGGGAACCUGCUAAGGGGUCGUAGAAACCAACACCUUGAAGGUGUUUGCCAUCUCUUGGAGUAUGGCUAUCAGCAGCAACAAUUCUGUAAAAUGCCCUGUUUUUGCAUCCAGUCUUGCUAAAUCAAUUUCACCGCCAUUUUCUCUACUAAAAUAAGUAUUGGGUUGUGACUGAUUUAUGAGCUUUCUUAUUAUCAUAUAGAACCAAUGAUAUAAAUUCAUGUUUUCUAUUUUUUUUUUCUUUUCCUUUUCGUUGCUUUCCUCACAUUCUUCUUGCCAACCAAGCUUGAACUUGGUUUCAGAGUGGGAGAAGACCUUAUAAUUUACAAUUUAUUGCCAUCAUUGGCCCCUGUUAGGUAUACUCUUAUUUGUUACAGUGCUUUCGUCAAUGGUUCUUUCACACACACAUGUUGAUUUCUAAGCUGAUAAUGUUCAAAACAAACUUCACACUUUUCUGAUAUUGUUCAAGUACUCAGAUCAUUUGAUGUAUUCCAUAAAAAUGACUUUUCUGAUAUUGUUCAAGUACUCAGAUCAUUUGAUGUAUUCCAUAAAAAUGGCGUGCAUUCGACUAUUAAGUUAGAGACUAUUUAUCGGGGGUUGCUUCUUACAAUGGCCCUAAAGAUGUGAGUAUAGCCUUCCCCAGAAGUCUUUUAUCUUUCAUGUAUUUAUGGUGUAAUGGGCACAAUUUGGUAAAUCAUAAUGGAAACCAGGUCUAAAACCAAGUCUUGUUUAUUGUUGCAGACUUCCAGGAAACUUAGAUUUUACACGAACAAUGCUAAAUGCCAUUUCUAGCAUGUUAUGAGAAGUAGUUAUGAGACACUCAUCAAUGAGCGUGCUUAUAUAAAAAAUCACAGGCCGACAAUAAAAGCCAUCUAAUAUUUUUAUAGCUUGGUUUUGUUCAAAUCUUCUAAAGAAAUAUGGAUUGUUUAUUCAAUGCACUGCACCAUUCUACAGUGCUUUUACCAUAGAGAGAGGAACCCAAAUCUAUAAGAGCCAACGGAUUGCCUUGUACAUGACUUACAAUCUUUUCUAUCAAUUCUUUAUGAUCAAUUGUGGGGUUGCAAUUCUUCAUGGCUUUGGAGCUAAAGAGUUCAAGAGAUUCUUCAUAGUUCAACCCCUCAACCUCGUAUGUUUUGUCUACUACAUUUUUAAACACUUGCUUGUCCCUACUUGUUAUGAGAACUUUACUGCCCGAACCAAAUGAACUGUGUUGUCCAUCAAGCAAAUCUUUCCAUUCUUCCAAAGGCAUUAAGUCAUCCACAUCAUCCAGAACAAUAAAAACCUUUUUACGACGAAGUCUUUCCCUCACAAAAGAAUCUCGAAAACUCAAGAAGCCCAUGCUCAUAAUUUCUUGGCCAAGCAGCUGUGAAAGAAAUCUUCUUUGCAAAUCAGCCAUGGAACCUGUUUCUAAUUCUUUCCUAAAGUUUGCAAAAAAGAUUCCUUCAAAUCGAGAACGGACCUUGUUGCACAGAGCUUGAGCAAUCGUUGUCUUACCAAUACCACCCAUUCCCCGUAUCCCUACAAUGAGAACAUCUGGAGAUUCCAUACUUAACAAAGACUCAACUUUGUUAACACGAACAUCAAUUCCAAAUAGAGCCGUAGUGUGACUUGAAGACAUGGCUUGCAAUUUGUUGGAAACAUCUCCAACGAUUUUCUCAAUAAAUUCAGACUCCAGCCUGAUAAACAAGAAGAACACACCUAAUUGUUAGUCAAAAUGGACAGGACAAGAAGAAACAUAUAAACAUACUCACUCCUUGGUAGCUACAUCUAUACAUAGUAGACACGUACGAGUAAUUGAGUAUCAUUAUUGGCAAUGGAUAGUACUAAUGUAACACAUGAAUCAUAAACCUGGACAAGAUUCUCUUACUUGGCCUCUCCAGAGAAUGCAUUUGAGUUCAGAAAUAUGCAGCAGCUCCCUACUUAUCUCAGGCUACAGUUAAUCAAUUCUUGAAAUUGGAAACUACUGUAUAUCUAAGAAAAUCAAUGAAAUGCAAAUGCAUAAGAUGUUUUCUCAAAUCAUUAUAUCAUAUAAUCAUUUCAAUUAAAAAAGUUGAAUUAAAAAACUUAAGUUGUUAGGAGAAAAUCUCAAAAAAUAUAAUUUAUAUUAUUUUUUAAUGAAUCAUAAUCUUUUUCACCUCAAAUAAAUAGACUAUUAAUGACCCGAUUUCAAGUGAAACAAUCGAAGAAAACAUUGAUUGUCCUAAUAAAAUUUAACAUAAGGAAUCCUAAGUAUCUUCUUUCUGUCUCCUAAAACUUAAGAUAUGUACAAGUGUUUCGCUAUAAUGUUUUCAAAAUCAAAUAAAAUAAAUACGAAUUCAAAGAGCUCAUCAUUGUCAAUAAUUUUAAAUUAAAUUUCAAAUACUCAACAAAAGAACGAAUAUUUUCUCAUGGGAUAUAUUUCAAGAGCUUACUCAGAAUUCCCUAAGGUCCAUCCAGAUAGAGUGGCUGUAUCCUUCAAAGCGUCUCUGAAGCUCUGCACUUUUUCCAUCGUCAAAGCUUUCUUCUUUAUAAGUCUAGCAAACGCAUCCCCAAACCUCCCUGUUUGAUUUCUUACAUGGGAUUGAUCCACCUGGUAGAAUACUGGAAUAACUAUCUGUCCAUUAUUUUUUCUACGCUCAAAAAUCUUUGCAAGCUCCUCCAAGCACCAUUUGGAAGAUGCAUAGUUUUCAGAAAAAACAGUCACAGAAAGCUUGGCCUCUUCAAUUGUUCUCAGAAGUGAUGCCGAGAUCUCAUCUCCUCUCACAAGCUGAUAAUCUAUGAAAGUUAGGAUUUGUUUCCGGUUCAAAGCGGCAUAGAGGUGGCUGGUAAAAUCAAAACGAGUGUCUUCUCCUCUGAAACUAAGGAAGACAUCAUAUUUCAUUCCUCGUGGCUGGGCGGUGGUUAAGGUGGAAGGAGUUGAUGGCGAUGGAGAUAUAUGACGGUUUCGUAUGAUGAAUCUCCAGAUAUAAACAAACAAAAAGAUAGAGAGAAACAAGAAAAAUACCGCCGUUGUUUUGUGGAGAAACAGUCGAAGAAACAAGAGUAAGACUCUGGUGGCAGGGUAAGUAUGUAGGGAGAGAACAGAAGCAACUCAAAGAAAAAGGAUGUUUACUUCCUGGAAAUUUCCGGUCUUGUUCAUUGUUUAUAUGUGAUAUGGUAAGAAAGGGCAUCAAGUCUUCGACCCGGCCCAAUAAGGACAAGCAACAAUCAAGUGUUUGUUUCCUGGAAAUUUCCGGUCUUAGCCGGGUUUGUAUCGGUUAAAAUCUGGACUGUAAAACCCAUCAAAAACAUUUUUUUUAUGAACCAAAAAACAAAACAUCAAAUCCACCACACCCUAAUUUUCAACGCGUUCUUCUUUCAUCCCCGAACAGGCUGACGUCAAAGCAACCGAAAAAUUUGUCCGAUAUUGUUUAAACGAUCCCAAUUGUACAACAACGUGAAAAACAUUAAAUCAAUUAGGAGGAGCAAGAACAAAAGUGAAUUUUUGAAAUUUUAUUAUUUAUAACAUAUAUAUUUUAUUCAUGUAAAUUGUUUUUAAAACUUUUUUAUAUAUAAUAUUAAAAUCCCAAUUAAUUUCUUUUUAAUUUUUUUAAUUAACUCGGAUUCGUUAAUAGCUUUUUUAAUUAGUCAAAUACACCCCUGAAUUGGAUUCAAUAACAAUGGGAUAGACUACGACCAAUAAUAAGCUACUUAGAUAGGUAGAAACAAUUGAAGAUGGUGUUUGAGAUUGUGGUUGUUGUUGCUUUUCAAAGUGUUUUUCAGUUAGAAAAACAUGCUAAUAAUUUUUUUAUUUUUUAAAAAAUUAUUUUUGAGAUCAGCACAUCAAAAUGAUUUGAAAACAUCAAAACAUAUUAAUUUAAAACAAAAUAAAAAAUAAAAAAAUUUAAAUUUUUUUAGAAGUGCUUUUGAAAAGCACUCCCAAACAAGCCCGAACUCUUAUGCACGAUAAGACCCAUGAAAAUUGAAAUCAUUGCUUUAUUUGUAAAAAGGGUUUAGACAACUUGCUACGUCUUUUAAUCAAAAUUAAAAUUAAUAAAAAAAACUAACAGCUUAGUCAUUUAUUGUACAUUGAAGACACAUAUAAUUGUGGAUUGAAUAAUAAAGUAAAUAUUUUACACCUCUAAAAUAAAAUUAUUUAAUUAGCCAUUGAAAGCAAUACAGUCUUUUCAUGUGAUCUAUUAUCAUUGUCAUAUUAAAUGAAAACAAAUCAAUUUUUAAACAUUUUAGAAACAAAGUAAAAUAAUUUAAAUAUCCUUAAAAGUAAAAUUUUUAAAACUAGGAUCCAUGGUUAUUUCAGUCUUUUAAUGUUUUCAUAGUAUAGUAUAAUUAAUAUAUUGUUCUUGAAAGCAAAAAAAAUUAAAAUUAAUAUUUAGGGUUUUUUUAUCUUCACCAUGGUUUUUUAGUUAUAAUCAAUGUAAAUUAGGGGCAAUUUAGUAAAAAUAUGAUUAAAAAAUAAAAAAAAUAGUUGAUGCUUGCAUUUGGGAGGCGUUCACUCUUUAAAAAAUGCGUGCAACAUCUCUCAGCAAGCAAACACUAUCUUUUGUGUGAAACCCGAGAACAAAUUAUACCAAAAAAAAAGAGUAUUUAUAAUAAUUUAAAUUUUGUUAUAAUACAGAAUUAAUGUAACUACAUAAAAUAAUAAUGAUGAUGAUAAAAUUUAUUAGUUAAGAAGAACAAAAAAAAAUAAGGCUUAAUUAAGGAAAAUGGAGAAAGAUGGGGCCAAAAUAGAAUUAAGAAGAAAUGGAACUAUAAAUACCUAUUCCUUCUCUCAAUAACAUCAAGAAAAGAGGGGGAAGAGUGGCCGGCUACAUGCAAGGAGAAGAAGACUAAGAUUCUUUAAAGUUUGUGAAGUAAAGUUUAGAUUUCAUCCAAGUAAGGAGUUCUAAUUCCAAUUUCUAUGAAAUUAACUUUAAUAUGAUUAGAAGUUUAUAAUUUUCUUGAAUUGGGAAUUAGGGUUCUUGAACAUAAAAUUUUGAAAAAAAUGCAAAAAUGAUUGAAAUUAAGUAGACUAAAAUGGUCUCAGUGCCUCAAAAAAAAAAAAUGAAAUGAGUGCAUAUAAAAGAGGAAGGGAACUCUUAGUUUCCUUGGGCAUGUUUCGACUAAGAGACAAUGCAGAAAGGGAAUAGAAAUUCUAGUGGAUUAAGUAUAUCUUGAUGCAUAAUUUAGUGAUAGAAAUGGUCUUGAAUGUGGAGGAAUGCAAGGGAAAAAAAAAAACAGAGAGUUGACAGAUGCAUGGUGACCGACCACUAGAAAAGAAGAAAAGAGGAGAGGAGAACUAAUGAUUGCUUAAUUAAUUAUCUUGGUAUAAAUGACUUUGGGAGGACAUAAAUGAGACAUGUUGCCAUGAAUAAAGGGAAGGCAUGGUUGUAUAUGAUGAGGAAGUAGGAAUUGAAGAUAAAUUGGAGAUACCUUCUCCAAUGACAAAAUAGGGUAAGUUUAUUGCCUUGGUUCCUAAGGGAAUUUGGACCUGAAGAUGAUAGAAUCCAGGGAGGGUCCCUUCAUAGAAGUUGUAGCUGGGAGUGUUAGCUUUCCAACGAGUUUGACCCCGUCUAAUUUUAAGUCCUGAAACUCUAUAUACAAAUAAAAAUUUAAGGAGAGGUCGAGCUGUCACCCCUGUUGACAAUUCGACCGAGUUAAUAAAACAGUGAAAUUUAGCCAUAGUAAGGGUAAAAUUUGUUUUUUUUCCUUUGUAAAGUGUGUAACAUUGUGUCUUGAUCUUUUAAAAAAAUAAAUGUGAUCAAAAUUGAAUUCAUGAUGUCCACUUGGACUCCUAAUGAGCUGAAAAUGUUAAAGGAUAAUAAUGAGGAAAGUAAGUGAGAAAGAAAAGAUUAGUAAAACAGAAAUAAAUAGUAUUGCCAUUGUUGUUGUUGUGUUGUGAUAUGUGGACUAAUAUGGAAUAAUGAUGGAUGUUUGUAGUUUCAGGAGGAACCGCGGAAGAAGUGCAGCAACAAUAGGGGAAUGCAAUUCAAGCAUCUAUAGUAGUUAAGAAUUCGAUACCUAUAUCUUCUUUAGUUAAUAAUUAUUUUAACUAACUAUUGAACUAUAAAAAUUUGGUGCUUAUUGAUAAGGAAAAGAAAAAGGGGAAAGGAAAGGUUAAAUGAUGGGAAAAUAGAAACGAAGAAUUAGAUUUAAUUUACGGGUUCUUUUGGAGGAAAUGAACAGUAACAAUAAAUUUUGGGAAUGACUGUUUCUCGAAUUUGAUUAGUCUAUCCCAGAUAUGGGAGGCUAAUGAUGUUAGCCAAGUUGGUUAACAUCGGCAUUACCGGUACAUGAGGGAAGAAAUAUAAAACUUGAUUAACUAUUCGGGUUCAGAAUAGUUAAUGAUAUCAGCGGGUGACGUUAAUAUCAACACAAUUUAUAAACUUGAUUAGCUUUCUGAGUUGAAAGUUAAUGAUGUUAAGAAUCUUUGAUAUUGGCAUACCCGAAGACCUCCCAAGGUAACAUAGAACAUUGAUUAACUAUUUUGGUUCAAAAAUAGUUAAUGACUCCAACAGUUGUGUUAGUGUUGGUAUUUUCAUGAAUUUGAUUAGUUGACCCCAGGAUGGGCAACUAAAGACACUAAUGAAAGUCAUUAGUGUAGCAGUAGUCUUCCUAAUAUAGGGAGAAGUAGUUAAAGGAAAUAAAUUGGAUAAUCCUUAAAAGGGGUUGGUGGUGGUGUACUGAAUUGUAUAUGACUUAAGUAGGUAGAUGUGCUAUAUAAAUUUUCUUCUGUGAAUUGUUUGUAUUUUAGUUAUUUUUAUUUAUAUAGAAACUUUAUAUUUUGAAGGUUCCUCUCAUUCAUGUUAGGAGUAGAAUUUAGGUUUCUUGAUCCUUUUUUUUAUAUAAGUUAGGAACUUAGGGAUUAUUCAUGUAUUUUUGUUAUGCAGUAAACAUGUAACCUGAAUAGAAUAGUAUACUCCUUAUAUUUUUUUUGGUUUUUGGAAUAUUAAUUUAUUAAUCUAUGCUUGGAAAAUUAUAGUGUACUAGCUUAUGUUCAGAAUGCUAUUCUAUAACCAAAAUCAAUACCUGUAGAAGCAAGUAGAAGAAUAACCAAAAUCAACUAAACAAGAUGAAAGACAUUGUGCCAACCCAUUUAAAUCAAACAGGCAAAUAAAAGCAGCCAUACAAGAACUGCAUUACCUAUAACGUAAACCGUGUGUGGGAGAAACACUGUGAAAAAGCUUCAUGCAAACUAAAGACUGAUCUAUCAGCUUUCUCUUUCUUUAAUUCAAAAUUGGCAAAAAGUGAACAGAUAACUCUCUCAUUGUGAAGUUAUCUCCUGCCUAAAAUAGAUGUUUAGUAAUUAAGAAUCAAAAGCUAAACAUGUUUAUCUUGCUAAACCUCCAGCAUUACCCACGACACCUUAUACGGCAAUCUCCAGGUUAAACUUAAAUACAAGGAUAAAUUUUUAUUACCCCAAAUACCAGAAACACAAACACAACAAAAACGAGUGAAAGCAUAUAACUUAUAGAAGUAAUACAGCAUAAAUUGAACGUAAUAAGAAAAAGAAAAAAACUUACUUCACAAGGUCAACAUUAAGACCCAAUCUUCUAGCAUCGCCCUUGGGUACCAAAAAGAAAAGGAAAAAUGUAAAAAUAAUUAACCAACUUCCAAUAUUCAAGCCACUGCAAAAGCUAAGCUAACUAAUCAACAUAUAUAUCUUCCCCUAAUAGCAAAGUUAAAAAUUAAGCAUGAUUAGUGCUUCAGUGACGAAAGGGAACGAACUUUGUUUCGUUUCUAGGUUUAUGGACUGGAUUCAGUCAGCAUUACGACAUAAUCAAAAGGAAGGAGUGAAGCUUUGGUUACCGGAAUGGACUAAAUACAGUUAUUUUACUUGAUGAUAUAUAGGCAAUAGUAUUAGUCCUAUCAAUAAUGUUGGCCUAAACCCAAAAAAAUUGUAAUUAAAAUUUAUUUUUUCCUUUCCUAAUGACCUUUGUGCUUUAAAAACAUAUUUUUGAGACUAACUAAUGAUAGAAUAAACUAUGAACAAUCAGUAUUAUCAAUGGUAAUAUUGAACUACAUAUACAUAAGAAAAUAAAAUUACAAAAGCAUCCCAUUUUGCAAAUGCAUUACCCCACGAAGUUUAAGUCUUUAAUAACAAAGUUAUCUACACAUACAAUGCAAUGAGAACUUGAAAAUAAACCCUAUAAGCCUUCAAAGUUCAGACCUUUGAAAUUAGAAAUAAUAAUAAAAAAUCUCCAUGUGAACUGAGCAUGUGAAAAUAAUAAGAGAAGGGUAAGAAGAACAAGAGGGAACCUGCUAAGAGGUCGUAGAAACCAACAACUCGAAGGUGUUUUCCAUCUCUUGGAGUAUGGCUAUCAGCAGCAACAAUUCUGUAAAAUGCCCUGUUUUUGCAUCCCAGCCUAGCUAAACAAAUCUUCACCGCCAUUUUCUUGGGCUGAUCUUCUUCAAGUGAGAAAUGGGAGAGUGAAUUGCAGAGGGAGGGAGGGAUAGGGUGUUUGUGGAUAUGGGUUUUUAUAUGGAUAAGGAGGAUUGGAUGCGGAUAUGGGCUUUUGUACUUCUUUCUUGUCAAAAUUAUGUUGUUUUUACCACAUUGGGCCUAAUUGAUCCCUCUGUUUUUUUUUUUUUUUUUUAAAUUGUCCCUUUUGCAAUUGUUCGUUUUCGUGCAAAUCAAGAAAAAAUAUACUAGAUGUAACCAAUGACUAUCUCUCUUCUCUGUCGGGCGCGUAAUAGUACUUCAUAGAAAUUCCUCGCCUUCACUGAGGUAAAGAUCUGCUUGCCUUAUUUUAGCUCAUUUCCCUUAUGAAGGCAAAAUGUUUGUGAAUGAUGAGUUUUACUGAUUAAAGGAUCUUAAAUUCCAACAUCAUCAAUAGCAACAAUUUCACUAACACAACAAAGGAAUCACUCUGAUCAAUGCUAGAGGGUUGUUCUAAGCAGUAAAGAGAGAACAUGCUAGCAAACCCUUUGCUGUUGUGGUCCAACAUAUUAACUAGCUUAAUUUAUCACAACCAUAAUGAUUAUUUGGAUGCAGGGCUCACGAUAUGCUACUUUCUCAAUAUAAGAAGCAGGGCAUCAAAGUCAUUAUAAUAUAUGAUUUGAAGGAGUGGCCAACUAAAUACACCAGGGAACGAAGCUAAUGAUCACCUGAUGUGUUUAAGAUUUCAUCCUUUAGUUUAGCUAGCAAAGUUUCAUGGGCUGCAAAGUUUCAUGGGCUCUAUAGUAUACGUGAUUGUUAAAAGUGCUUUCAAUAUCUUCCCUCAACCAAGAGUUGGGCAAAAAACGGAUUUAAUGUGAUUGUUGGAAUUUUCUAUUGCAAUUUUGUAAGCCUACUGAGUUUGAAGGAAUGCAGGGAGAAACAAGAAAAACAUUGCCAUUGUUUUGAGGAGAAACAGUUGUAGAAAAUAUUUUGUUUGGUAGUCUGGUUGUGGUUGCAGUUAUUUUUUAAAUAACUUUUCGUAUCAAUAUGUAUGUCAAUGAUUUUUUUUAUUUUUAAAAAAUUAUUUUUAACAUCAGUACAUCAAAAUAAUUUAAAAAUACUAAAAAUAUAUUAAUUUAAAGUUAAUAAAAAAUAAAAUAAAAAUUAAAUUUUUUUUAAAAUAUUUUUAAAAUAUAAAAACAAAGAGGUAGGGGUAAAUAUAUUUUCUAUUAAAAAUUACAACACAGAGCCGAGGGUGAGACUAUGAGCUAGAAGGAUCACACACUCUUCUUUCCUUCACAUUAUAAUGGUUGUAAUGAUUUGAUUAUGAUUUGUGUUUGUUAUUUGUUUUUUUAUUCGUUGUUGGUUUGUUUGGGAUUGUAAUAGUUAUGACGGUUCAAAGUAUUUUUUGUUUAAAAAAACAUUAAAAUAAAAAACUUUUUAUUUUAAAAAAUUAUUUUUUAUAUUAAUACAUCAAAAUUAUCUAAAAACAUAAAAAAAAAAUUAUUUUAAACAAAAAACAAUCAAAACUUUUAAAAAUAUAAUUUCCACCGCAUUUCCCAACACACUCAAAAUCCACUUUACCGACCAAGUAAACGUGCGAACUGAAACACCCUAAUUUUCAACUGGAAAUGAAAACUAUUAAAUCAAUUAGGAGGGGCAAGAACAAAAAGGAAGGUUGAGGUACUAUAGGCGUUCCUUAUGAUUUUUAAAAGUAGAAAAAUAUUUUAAAAUAAUUUUUUUAACUUCAAUGUUUAUUAUAUAUAUAGUCCAUUCAUAUAAAUUGUUUUUAAAAUUUUUUAUAUAAAAUAUUAAAAUUUCAAAUAACUUAACCAAUAUAAUCCAAAACACUGCCUUAAUUUUGAUCAAAUCAACCUCAGAUUUGGUUUCAGAUUUGGUUUCAAAUCCAAAUAUUUUCUCAUGCACAGAGGGUGCACAUUGUUGACUUCCUGGAAAUUCCCCAUGUACAAGAAGGCUCCAUGUCUUGUUCUCUGUUUUUCUCAUGUCUUGUUCUCCAUGUACAAGAAUUAAUUAAAAAUAAUUCCUAAAAAUAUUCCAUGUACAAAAUGCUUCAUGUCCUGUUAUAUGUUUUUUUUUUUUUAUUUGAUAGGGAAGGACAUCAAGUCUUGGAUCCAAGUGUUUGCUCGUACUGAGGACUUUGUUGACUUCACAUUAUAUUAUAAUGGUUAUUAUUAUUUCAUUGGGAAGAACUUGUUGUGCAUAGCUUUCGAACCUGUAUAAAGUGUUGCGUGGAUAUCGCCGGCGAGAAGGAAAAGAUUAGCCAGCGGAGACAGAGGAGAUAAAGUUGUUGAUCUCUUGAGCUCGUCAAAUGCCAUGUCAAAUCUCUUCCAAGGUUUAUCUGGACAUUGAUGAUUCCAGGUUGUAGUUCUUGUGUUGUGAUCAAUAUAAUACGUUUUCUCUGAUGCUGCAUCAGAUCGCCUCUCCCAGCCUGGUGGCAAUAGAGCAGUAUAUCCACCAUAGUUAUUGACUGACUGAUAAAAAUGAUAUUUCUAUCGUAACCAAAGCUUUUUAAGACUAAUAAAAUGAAAUCUAAAAACAGUUUUUUUUUUUUAAGAAGAAAUUAAAGAACACAUGUAAUGCAGUUGAAAGCUAGGGUUUUGAGAGUCACCAUUGUAGAAGCUUGAUCUGGGAGAGGGAGAAAGGGAGAGGCUAGACGGCUGGUAGGGUUUGAGGGAGAGGUGUGAGAGAUAUAAUGGAACUUGUUAUAAACCCUAUUCCCUAUUGGCUCUGCAGAUGAACGGCUGAGAUUAGAUUGUUUGUAGCAGCAAGGGUUUUGCUUAUUUGUGACUGGAUGGCGUUGUGGUCAUUUCGACCACCAGUUUAAGCAUACAAAGCCCAAUUCGUUAUUUUGGGCUGAAGACCCAAAGUCCAUGGAGUCAAUAAAAAAACAAAAUUUUUUGGGUGAAAUGGAAUAUUGGAAUCAUAGUUAUAGAGUAAAUAAAAGAUUUAAUUUUUUUUUAUUAAUAUGAAUAUCUAGAUUAAUUUGUAUUUACUUUGAUUAAUCUUACAGGACCUGAAACUAACGACUAUGUAAGCUUCUAGUGGCCUUAAAAUUUAUGAGAUUCAAAUUGGUGAUCUCUAGUAAGCAAACCUAGAGUUUGACUAAUUGAAUUACAAUCCUUAGAGUUGUCAUAAUCUAUUAUUAAGCUAUUAAGAUGGUGAUUAAUAUUAUUGUUGUAAUUAUUUUUUAAAAAGAUUUUUUUAUUUUAAAAUAUAUUAAAAUAAUUUUUUAUUUUUAAAAUUUAAAUUUAAAUUUAAUAUUAAUCUAUUAAAACGAUUAAAUAAUAUUUUAAAAAAAAUUAAUUUAAAGUAUAAAAAAAUUCAAAGUGCAGUUUAAAUAUAAAAAUAAACAAUAUCUAGGUUAAUUUAUGGGGUUGCUGAAUCAAUCUUAAUUACUUAUUUUUAUAAAAAAUAUUUUUUUAGAAUUAAUCAAAAUAAAUCAAUUAUGUUAUUAUAAAUUUAAUUGAUGAAUCAAAUUUUACCAAAUUAAUAUUUUUACCUUUUCAAAUAAAAACUUAACUCGCAUAAAGCUUCUCAUCACGGAUUUUCAAUUCAACCCCCUAAGAAAAGUGGGGUUUAAUACCUAUAAUAAAUACAUUUCUAUUAUGCAACCAAAACUUCAACGUAUUCUUGAACCAGCCUGGAAAAUCAAGUCCUCCUGUCAUGAUUUUAAAUACACUUCUCUCACGAUAUGAUUAGCUUUAUCAAACCUAAAUGAGAUUCAAACAAGUUAAUUUUAAGAAUUUUUUUAAUUAAUAAAAACAAUAAACAUGUUACCAAAAUACUAUAGAGAAUGCUAUGCAUAUAAACUUUAAAAAACUAUUCAUUGCGACACUUUAAUUACAUUUUUCCCCUUCUAAGAAAAAAAAACAGAAGCUUAUGAGUUAAGGGCAAUUCAAUCUUUUCGCAUUGGUUAUUAAUUAUUUCACCGGGAAACAUAUGUGUAACCAAAAGCUUAUGGGACUUUUCUAUUUUUUAUCCAUAGCAAAAUGAUAUUUUAAAUCUUCAUAUAAAAAAAACUAAUGUUUUUUAUUAAGGGUAAUUAAGUGUUUUAAAUACAGUAAAAAUAUAUAUUUGCUCUUAAAAAUCAAGAAAAAAAAAAUCAAUCAUUAGUCUAGAGAUUUUUUUUGUUUGUUGACAUCGGUUUUUUUUGUAAAUUCCAAAACUAUAAAGGACAAUUUGGUCAUUUAAAAUGAUUGACUAAUUUUAAAAUUUAAAAAGUUAUUGAAACAUGUCAUCACAUGAGAGAUAAUUGUGUUUGUUGGCGAUGUGCGCGUGUCUCAUGUUGUCAAAUAUAUCUUUUUGAUAAAGGUUGGUUUGUUUGUCGUUGACGAGUCAUUUUUUUUUUCUUUCUUUUCUUUCAAAAGUUACAAGUUGGUUAUCUUCAUUAUUGAUAUUUCAGCUAUGAUCCUUAUUCUUUCGAUAUUUAAUUCUUUUCCUUAACCAUUUUGUAAUAAUUUUAUUUUUUUUCAAUUUAGUCCUUCAAUUCCAAUUAUUUUUUUAAAUUUUAUUUUCAGAUUAAUUGGAAGCAACUUUUUAUUGCAAAUUUUGCUUUGUUAGUGAUUAUCUUCUAUGUAGUCGAUUUCCUCAAUUUUUAUCUCAUAAAUGAUCAUGAGUUUCAAAAGUUUACAUGUGUAGAUUUUUAUCUUUUUAGUUUUUUAAAUUUAUUUUUUAAUUUCAUCCCUAAUAUUAAUUUUUUUAGAAAAUGAUCUUCCUGCUUUAUUAUUUUUAUUUAUUUAUUUAUUUUUUUGUAUAUAAAAUAUCUUAAUUCUAUUUAGUUAUUUAUUGAUCAAAUAUUAAUUUAUUUAACUUAAUGUAUAUUUAACAAUUUUAAUUUAUAAUUAGAAGUUUUUUAUAUUAAAAAACUAAUAAAAAUCUUAUAUAUUUAAUUUUUUUAUUAAAAAAAUUUAAUCCAUAGUAAAAUACUAGUUAAAUAUUUAAUUUUUUUUUUAAAAAAACAUAUUGUUUUAGUUUUAAAAAUAAAACUAAAAACAAUUAGUUUUGAAAUCAGCCAAUCAACAAAUUGGGUUUUGGAUUCAAUCAGACCCCAGGCUCGUAUGAAAUCUAUGGUUGGUCCCCACCUGAAGAAACAAGAGGUAGAGAGAAACCAAACAGUUGGCUAACGGCAUCGACAAGCCACACGAUUUGAUUCUCUACCAUGAUAUAUAUAUAUAUAUAUAUAUAUAUAUAUAUAUAUAUAUAUAUAUAUAUAUAUAUAUAUAUUGUUUUCUUCGACAAGUCGCAACACAAAUUCCAAUACCCAUUUUCAGUUUCCUUGAUUUUGAGUAAGUUUUAGUUCUUUUUCGAAGUGGGUGGUUUGAUUUAGCUUAGCUUAUGGUGUUGUAAAUUGUCAUCUUUUUUGUUGAAUGCUGUACUUGGACGUCACUUUUUGUAGUAUCAUGGUGUUAGUGAUUGUAUUGUGAGGAACCCAGUUGGGGAAUUGGUUCAUUUGUUCUGAAUCCACUUCGUUUUGGUUUGUUUUAGCUUAGUGUGUUUUACUUACUUGUGAGUUAUACACUUGAAUAUGUUGUUUUGUGGAACGAGUUCAUUGUUUUUCAUGAUUUUGUUUAAAAAUGGAGCUCAAGCUUGAGUUUCUAGAAGCCAACUUGAGGAGCGUUCAUCUUGGUAUAAUGAAUUGAAGCGGUCAUGGUUCAGUUUUGCUCAUUUUGAUCCAUUUCUCACUUGUCUUUCGUAGUUGUGAUCCACAUUUAUGACAUUUGUUUUCACUAUUCCAGAAAGAGGUUACUUUAUUUUUUUUUGAAUUUCAAGGAAUCCUCUUAUAAGUUGAUUGCUUGUCAGAAAUGGAAAUAACCCUUAUUCAACUUAGCGUGGUUUAAUUACUGCUCUUCUUUUUCAUGGACAAAUUUGGAGAUUGAACUGCAUUUUAAUUGUAAAGUCUUACUUUCAUGCAAAACAAAGAAGCCUGGUGAUUUUGAUAAGGUUUAUAUUGAGUUAACAAAAGAUGUUGCAUGUUUGCUCUACCACUCAGUGUUGUUACUCUCAUUCUCAGGUGAGUUUCACUUCCUAGACUGUAAUUUAAUUCAUGUUAUUACCAUGUUUCUAUCAUCCAUGUACCUCGGAUUUCAUCUAUGCCCUUAGUUUUGGAGAUGCAUGACCUCUAAUUAGGUGGAGAACAAGCGGGACUAUAAUUGAAGUUUCGCUAAAGAGAAAUAUUCUGGUGUCAAAAAAUAAAAAAAAAAUAUUGGUGUAACUAGACAUGUCUGCCUCUUUAUAAAAUAUAUUUGAUGUAUUUGAGUUGAAAAAUCUAGGGUGCCUAAGUGAAGGUUUUGAAUGAAGGUAUAAAUUAAGCUUCAACUGUUUAAGCAUAAAGGUCAGUAUGACAUCAUGUAGAGCUUAUGUGCCUAAGUGAAGGUUUUGAAUUGAUUCUCAUGUUCUAGCAUGGUAUCAUAGUCCAGUGCAGCUUUCUCCUUCCUUCUAGGCCUACACAUAAGAGGGAUGCUGAGUAAAUCCCUUAACAAUCUAGCAGAAAGUUUUGCAUGACCUAGUAAUCUGCUUAUACAUCUCCGUUUAGUAGUUUAAGCAUCUGGGUGUGAUUACCUAGCACCAACUUCCUUCUCAUGUGCAGUUGAUUAUAAUGGCAUUUUCUCUCCGCUUAGAACGUGUUUAGCAUUGCUGUCAAAACAUCGUUUGCCAAAAAUAUAAUUUUUUUUGCUUAAAUUUUUUUUUUGAUGUUUUUGGACCGUUUUAAUAUGUUGAUGUCAAAAAUAUAUUUUAAAAAAUGAAGAAAACAUUAUUUUGAUGUGUUUUCAAAUGAAAAACACUUUGAAAGAAAAUGCUACCGCAAUAUCAAACAUGCUCUUAAUCUGAUUACUUACAUCAGAAUAUAAAAUUAAGACAUGAGGUCUAUGAGACUCUUCAAUAUACAAAUUCCUUGUCCACCUUUAAAGAACAUAAUAUAACAAUUUUCAGUGAAGCCUUGCAGGCAGUAACUUCCAUGCACAUCGGUUAUCAAUUCACCAAGUUUUGUGCUAUCAUGUCACAUCUUUCUUCAUAUACCUCUGGCAUAGUAUUUCUAUUGUCAAAAAUUUCAUUCAUGUAUUUGAAACCACAACUACUGCAGAUAACAUUCCAUGGAGGUCUGCAACCAUUUUGCUCAGUCUGGAAGGAUUUCGAGUCCAGAUGUUAUGUCAUAGACAUGAUACUUUUAGGAAUGUCAAAUAUAACACAUCACCAAAGAAUUUCCUUCAAAACACAAGCUAUAAAGUCUUUCUACUCCAAUUUUAUUGAAAGCUUUGCUUUCAUUAAUGAUCAUUCUUGCCCAAAUGAACUAGGCAACAUUAAUUGCAACUUUUAUAAGGAUUGGGAUUCUUCAGUUGGAGCAAUAAAUGAACUGCACACACACCCUAUGGGAGGGGGUAAACUGAAAUUCUUAGAAAGUUAUAACAUAUCUGAUGUUGAAGAAGGACCUUUGAACUCUGCAGACCAGUUUGCUGAUAAUACAGAUAGUUUAAUAUGACUUGUGGAACCUGAAAUAACAUCAACUAUUGAUAUGACACCAGAGAAUCCCAGUUUGGGAUCUGAUUCCCUGGAAAUGGAUAAUGAUUCAUUAUCUAGUGCAGAGGCUAGUUUUGAUGAUUUUUUUGGGCGAGGUUAGGGACUCCAUCAACACUUCAGUAAAUAAUGGAGGAAAUGUUGUGCAAAGCUCACUAGACAAAAUUAGUUCUUCAAUAACAUCCAUUAAGGAAGGUUCUUCAGAAGCAGUAGAUGGUGCCUUGAGUAAAGUAUUCUCUACUUUUGAUUAAAUAGGAGAAUUAGCUGGCGAUAGAUUGACUAGCUUUUCAUCUGGUUUGGGGGAAGCCAUACAAAAAGCUACUGGCACUUCUGUUGAUGUGCUCAAGGUUGCAAUCAUUGCAGUGGAGGAAUCUAUAGCAAAAGGGGCUUCUUUUGUUGUUUAUUCUUAUGGGCAUGCCAAAGAUUUGCUUUCUCCAAAGAUCAGGGGUGCACUGAAUCUGUCUGAAGAAAGGGUAACAAAGAUUUUGAGGCUAAUUGGUGCAACUUUUCAACAGGUACAUUAUGCUUGACACGUUUUACUUUGAUGGCUGUUGUACUCUCGUUUAAUUGUAUGGAUUUUAAAAAAAAAAUAUCCUGCAAAGAUAUAUUUGGAUUAUUUUAGAAAUCUUUUUGUUGGAGACAUCAGUCACUGCUUUCAGCUUACAGGACUUUUAGUUGAAAACUCAAUUGUAUCCAUCUCUGUUACACUGCUUAAUUAUGUGAUGAUCUAACUAAUUUAUGAUCCAAAACCAAAGUUGAAUUUCCUAAACCUGCUUUUACACCUUAAGCAGGUUUAUAUUGGUAUUGAGGGGCUAGAGAAAAGUCUUGGCUUGGAUCCAAAUGAUCCAGUUGUGCCUUUUGUUCUUUUCCUUGGAACCUCAGCCACUUUGUGGUAUGGAUGUCCUUUUGUGCAUAAAGGAUUUGUUUAUUUAAUCUGCAUUACAUGGGAAGCUUAAGUUUUCUAUCAGAUUUGUGCAGGGGUUUGUAUAGGGUAUGGGUAUAUGAUGGUUACUCUGGAGAUUUGUCUCUGCAAUUAACUUUAGAGCUCUUGGCAGGGAAGGAAGAUGCCAUUCUUAUUGAGGUCCGGCCUGAGGCAAGAGAGUAAAUUUUCUGGCCUUUUAUGUUCUUAAGUUUCUUUUGUUAGAAAUUCUAGUACCUCAAUGAGAGACACUAAAGCUGACUGCUCGGACAUUUACUGAAGGGUCUGUACUGUUUUUUCAACUCUGUUCAUUAAUACAUUCCAUCUUUUAGCUACCCCAUUUCAUAUUUUCAAUAUUUUUUUCACUAGGAAAUAUUACUUACCAUCCACCUUUCUACCCCAUUUCUUUUACAUCACAGUAAAAAAAUCUCAAAUCUGGAACCCUCAUUAAUUUCCUUUUUUUCCCCUUAACUUGGCAUUGAACUUGGUGGACAUUGUUUAUAUGAAGGUUCUCAGAGAAAGAAAUGGCAUUCCUGAUCUUAGGCGAGCCGCUCGGUUUCGCUAUGCAAGUGUAACUCUACCAAAGGUUGGUUUUAUUUGAUAAUACUAUUCAAAAGCUAUGAGUGGAGAGGUAUUGCUAUUUGGUAUGAGGAUGAUAGUUUACAACAAUUACUUUGUUUCUAAAUGUCAAAUAACUCUUUGAACCAACAAUAAAAAAAUAAAACAAGAAUUGGAGCUUGGUUGUAUCCCUUUUUCAUAACUCUGUCCUAUAUUCUUCAACUUUAUUCAGGUUGAUGGCCCAGUAAGGAAGCUUUUAAAGGGUGGACGAGAUCUUGAUGACAUCUUGACUGCUGCAGUCAUUCGAAACUUGAAAGUUGUACAUGUAUAGCUUUAUGUUUUAAGAGUUUCGAUAUAACUAUUGUUUAUGCAUGCUGUCAUUGUUUCGAGACAUUAAAAAAAAUGAGAAUUCUGAGUAGUGCAAGAAAGAAAGGAAAUUCUCGGGGGGGGGGGGGGAUUUGGGCAUUGUUUUGGUAUUACCAUAUGCAGUACAGUUGCUACAUCACAUUCUCCUGAGUGUUCCAUGUUUAAAUCCUGAAGCAGGAACAUUGUCGGGGGGGGGGGGGUUGGGCUUGGUUUAAUCAAUGUUGUGUGUUUUAGCAUCAGUGGCCUCUGAGGACAAGAAAUUGUUUUGGUAUUACCAUAUGCAGUACAGUUGCUACAUCACAUUCUCCUGAGUGUUCCAUGUUUAAAUCCUGAAGCAGGAACAUUGUCUCAGAGAUUUUUUUUUUCUUAUACUUGUAGGACAGGUACCAGGUAAUAGUUAUGGAUGCUGAUGGUUCUUAUUCUAUAGGCAUCACUAGAUCCUUAAGAAAGCUUGGGGUUAAGGUAAGUAUUUGGAAUCUCUAAGAUUUUUUUUUUUAUCACAUAAAAGCCUAAACAUCUAAUUCAUCAUGGAACUAGAAGAGCAAAAUGAAUUUAUUCACUCUCCCUUAGUCAAGUUUCUUUGGGUUAAAAAACAUUUCUGAGAGUUUUUCAGUAUCGGCAAACUUAGAAACAAAUAACAAUAUCCAUAUUAACCAGAUUUGGGAAGAGUACAUUAAUGUCUUUUGUGCAUUUAGAAUGUUGUUAAAAAAAAAACUGUUACUCCUUAUGCAUGCUUUUUCUGUCGUAUAAAUGCUAUAGAUAGAACCCAAUUUUCAUUCAUGUUGUUCUCAAGUGGUAUAAUUCAGAAAGCACAUUAGUAUUACAUCUAAAUUAUGUCCUUAAAAUAUCUCUCUCUAAAAAAAAAAAAGUCUUUACCUUGCUUUAAUGGAAAGUUGCAAUGUAUUAAUCAAUUUCAAUAUUCUUUUAUUUCACUCCAUAGAUUGCUGGGUUGUAUUGUUGUGUAAAUGGCUUGCAGAGAAACAAGUUAAAUGCAUGAAUUCUAGAUUAUAUCAUGGUUCAUUCCUGGACUAAUCAUAUAAUUUAGAUAGAGAAGAUAGUAGAAUUUUGCAGAAUUAAACCUUGUGACCUGCAUUAUAAGAAAAUUUGAACUGCCACGUAAGUCUAUUGUUAAUCUAGAACCAUAACCUAUUGUAUCAUAUUGCUAAUUGUUUGUUUGCAUUUUUUUGUGACAGAGACCAUACUUGGUCCAAGGUGGCUUACAGUCUUGGGUAAAGCAAGGUAUCCAAGCCAAGGAGCUCAAACCUGAGACUGUGCUAACCAUACUUAAUGAGGUAAGGUUAUUGCAUGACUUGCAUAUUCUCUUAACUAGUAUAAAUUUCUAGAAAUACAAAAUUCUAUUUACCGAAAGCCAUUGAUCAACUCAAAGUAUAUGUGUGGAAAAUGACAAGUUGUAGAUUAUGCAAUAAUAUAUUCAGCCAGCUGAGAUAAACCUAGAGAGUUGAUUAAUUUGACAUUUAUUUCAAAAACACAUGGGAAGAGUGAAAUUUCUUUGCUGGGUGCACAUUGGUGCCCAAUGGAUGCUAUCAAAAUGGUAUCCACACAGCACAGAACAACAUGCACACACAGAGGCAUAUGAGAUGUACUUGUGUAUGUGCAGUGCGUGUGUAAAUUUACAUGGAGAGACUUAUUUAAAAAAACAAAUAAAAAGAGUGUGUUAUGUGCAAUCACACUUGUAUGAACAUGUUCAUCAUGAGUGUUUGUAUAUAUGUAAUUGAUGGGCUACCAUAAACUGGGUAUGCAGGCCAUAGGAAUUGUGUAUAUUUUAAAGCAUGACGGUGCACAGAGAAAGAGAGAGAUUUCAAAAAUAAAUAAAAAGAGCGUGCUAUGUGCAAUCACACUUGAAUGAACAUGUGCAUCCUGGGUGUGUUUGUAUAUAUGUAAUUGAUGGGCUAUCGUAAACUGGGUAUGCAGGCCAUAGGAAUUGUGUAUGUUUCGAAGCAUGACGGUGCACAGAUUUAUGAAGUGAAAUUAUGCACAGUAUCCAGGUGUUGAUUCUUGAGAAAAAUGAUCACUUUGUCUUUAUGCAAUCUAAUGGUGUUAGAAUUGGCAUCUCUUGUUAAAAACUUUUGUUUAUGAUUGAAUUAUUUAUUUGGUGCACCAGAUUGAAUCGAAUGGAAUGCAGUUGGAGAAGUGAUUCUUAGUCAAACUGUAGUUUAGUAAAUUUUCCGACAUGUUGGGUGCAACUGAUUAUAGAACUCUUGAAGUUGUUGUGCAGAUAAUGUAGUAAGAAAUCAACAAGAGGUUGUCUCCCAAGUAUCUGAGCCCAAGUCUACAUGAACGUUUUGAAACAUUCAAUCAAACAAGUUGAUAUGAUUCAUUACAACUCAGAAAGUUAUUUUGAUAUAUACAACAAGCUGACUUGUUGGAUCAUUUUACAAUCUGGGAGGAAGGUUGUUCUCCUUCAUACAAAUCAACAACCUUCACGUUUCAAUCAACAUUUUUCUUGUUGAUAAAGACCAUUUGGUUGUGUAGGAUUUACAUUCAAUAUGCUUUGUCAAUCUGUGCUAUUCUUUUCAUGGAUUGAAAAUUAUAAUUACAAGUAUUUUCUGGAAGUGCUUGAUUUUCUUGUGCAAAAUCGAAGAUUUUCACAAUAUUCUUGUGAGUUGUGACAACUUGGCAUCAUUUCAGGAGGCUGAAGCAAUUCUAGAAGAUAUCAGACCUUCACAAGUGCAAGCACUUGUGUAUGGUAUACUUUUAUUUGUUAUAGUGCUCUGGUUAAUGUUUCUUUCACACACACAUAGAUGUUGAUUUCUAAGCUAAUAAUGGUUAAAACAAACUUCACACAUUCUGAUAUUGUAUUAGUACUCAGAUCCUUUGAUGUAUUCCGUAAAAAUAGCAUGUAUACGACCAUUAAGCUAGAUUCCCUUUGUCUAUUUUGCAUGUGUCCUAGAGAAAGGUUUAUGUCAUUGCUAAAUUUAGUUAGGUGAACCUUGAGUUUCUCUAAUUAUUGGUUUCUCACACUUCGCCAGACUAUUUAUCAGCGGGUUGCUUCUUACAAUGGCCCUGGAGAUUUUAAGCAAGAUGUGAGAUAUAACCCACUCCAGAAAUCUUUUGUCCUUAGUGUAUUUAUGGUUUAAUUGGCACAAUUUUGUAAAUCAUAAUGGAAAACCAGGUCUAAAAUCAAGUCUAUGUUUAUUCAUACUCAAUGAAUUAUAUAAGACACACCUAGUAUCAUGUUAGAUAGAUAGGUGUCAUAUGUUAGUACAACAUUAUUUAGCAAAUGAGAUGUUUACUGGGACGAUGAGUUUUUAUUAACAAAAUGAACCUUGGUGUUUGCACAGUAAAGGGCACGGAAAAACUUAAAUAUAGCAAUUAUCUCUUGUGUCUAAGUGUUCUUUCAACAUUUGGUUCUUGACCAUAUUCUGAUCAUGGCAUAAGUUUGAGUCGUGUUGAUAACCAAAUUGCCUAUGAUAUUAUCAAGGUUCAUAUUUCCCAACCUCCACCAGACAUUUAGAAGUUAUUUAACCAAGUUUUUAGAUUGUUGAGAUCUUGAUUAACUAGGAUUUGAAAUGCUUCUUUGAAGGCAUUUGCUCUCUCCUGUUAGACUUGGAGUACAGGCAUUUUCAUGGGCAGCAAGAAAACUGGAAAACAACUGCAUUGGUUUACCUACAUCACCUUCACCUUCAGAUGUUCAAAACCGGGUGCUGCAAGCUACUACAAAGCAUGAAUCCCAACCAUCUGAAACUGAAGUUCCAAUCCAUCACCUGAAUCAAUGACUCCAUUAAAUGAGAAAGUAGAUAUUUCAGAAGCAUAGGCAUCAAGGCGACAUUUAUUGGAGUGUGGUUUAUAAUUAUUGGAGGCGACAUUAAAUCUAAGAUCACUUGGCUAAAUAUAAGAAGAGGUCUAGGUUGUGGCAAGUAAUCAAUCUGAUAAACACACUCAUAACUUAUCUGGUAAACACGAUCGAAUUCUUCUAAAUUAGUUGAGGAAUUAGUUUUAAAAUGAGGUUGGUUAGUUAUAAUCUAGAAUUUUUGAGUUUAUUUAUAAUGAGCUGAGAUCUAGAAUUUUUCUAAAUUAGGUUAAAAGAAAUAUUGUCUGAGCUAAUUUUUUUAUUCUUCGUUUUUAUUUUCAUAUUUCUUAGUUUUGAGUUUGUUUAGGCUAAUUUUGAGUUUAUUUAAAGAGUUAUAAAAUAUACAAUAAUAAAAUCUUGAAUACUUACUGUUUUUAUUGUGUUGUGUUAGUUUAUGUAAUUUGGUUAGUAAAUGGUAAUCAAAGAUUCAAAACAUGACUAUAGUAUUCUGCAUGUGCAAGAAUAAAUUCGCUAGAUGGUUGUUAUAGUUAGUUACGGAAUUUGUUGAAUAACAGAAAGUUAGUUCGUUAGUCAGUUGCAAAGGAAGAACAAUAUUUACAGCUAUCUUGAAAACCAAGUAAUAAUUGAAGAACAAUUUGCAGUAACUACAUAACUCUCUCUCCCUUUCAAUUUCUUUUAUAUCUCGCAAAAUUUUCUUUUGAACUUUUUGUCCGCCGGUAGAUUUUCAUCAAAGUGCAGAUACACCCCACAGCUUUUCAACUCGACAAGCCUUCGGCUCUGAUCACACUGUCUCCACCCGUAGAAUUUAAAUGUAACUUCAUUACCGGAAUAUGUAUGCAAUUCAUUUACCAAUUUGAGCUCGUAGCGUAGAAUCAUGUGAUCUGAGUCACAUGUCCUCAAGUCCAUUGAUAGAAAGUUUUCCUGGGAAUUGCAGAGGACUUUAUCAUCACCAUUAUGCUCACCGUUUUUACUCGUAACUUGGUAAUCAUAAUUGACACCAACAUCAGAACGACCACUGAACUCACAAAUAGGCAUGUCAUGGGAGAGAGGGAGUAGAAAGACAAGGCAGAAAGCAAUUCCCUUGAGCUGAUGACAAUUUGAGGGCAACUGUAUGGUGACUGAAGAUCCAAUUCCUUUGUCACCGAACCAUUCUGGAAUUUCACUCCCCGGUAGAACCAUUCGAAUACCGCCAUAUGCCUCUCCGGACUGUAACACAAAAGUCACAUUUCAAAAAUGUGAUGAAGCAAGCAAGAAAGAGAGAAGAAAGAAAGACAAGGGGGUUUAGAGAGAUACCUGAAUUUUCAAAUGCAUUGCUGCCACCAGCGGUUUCUGAUCCAAUUUGAAGCAAUUUGUAAAAUCCAAUCCUAACUGUAAUUUACCUUUAUUGAUGAUUGAUAUCGCGCUUUCUAGUGAUGCACAGUCAUGUGUUGUUAGCGUCCUCAGCGAAGAGGGAAGCUCAGGUAGCUCUUUAAUAGGCGUUCCAUCUAAAUUUAGAGUCUUCAAAAUUAUCAUAUGCUUCAUUAAUGAUGAAGGUAUCUCUUUAAUGCCUGUUCCACCCAAGUGAAGAUGCUCCAAAGAUUUCAUAGGCACUGUGAUUUCUGGGAGGCUCUCAAGUUUUGAGCAACCACUCAUAUUCAAAUCCCAGAGUCUUGUGAGAAACUGGAUUGAUGAGGGCACCUCUUUAAUAGCAGUUCCCUUUAGUUCUAACCACUUUAUAUCCUCUAAAUUCUCCGGAAACUUGGUCAUCUUUGAGCAACCAUCUAGAUUAAGACGUUCCAACCGGCCAGUAACUGAUUGUGGAACUUCUUUGAUUGAAGUUUCCAGCAACCAUAACCAUACCAUAUUUUGUGAAAUCGUUGGACACGUGGUCAAAUCUAGGCACCGACUUAUAGUAAGUGAGUUGAGAACCUUUGAAUCAAGCAUGGGAAAACUUCUAAGAUUAUAGCAACGAAAGAGAUCAAUUACUUCCAGCUUGUCAAGAUAUUGAAGAGAUGACGGAACCUCGGUUAAACUUGAACAGUUCGCAAGUAUUAAGCACUCUAAAUUUUUUGCCAUUGAUAGAUCUGGCAAUUCCGUCAAAUAUGGAGAGUCAGAUAGGUCAAUUGUUCUUAAAUUUCCAACAUCCUGUCAACAGAAAAAGGCAUAAUUAGAAAGUUAGCACCUCCAACUUCAUAUUUCUGAUCACCAUCUAUAGCAAUUAAAUCAUACCUUUACUCCUGUCCAAAGUUUUUCAAGCUUGCUUUUGCGUAGGUCAAGCUCGACAAGGUGUUCAGCACGAAAAGAUGGCGGCAAGGAUUUUGAAGGGAAUCCAUGCCAUUGCAAAUAUCUCAGCUCAUUAGGAAGAUAUUCGAGGCCAGUAGGAGGAAGGUUCAUUGUAAAUUCAUCUUCUUGGAAGAAAUCAAUGAGAUCGAAACUGAGAAAUCUAAGACCAUCCAUCAUUGCGAAGGCAUCAGAUUUCAAGUGUACGUGUCUCGGUAACCAGUCCAAAGAUAUGCCUUUAAUUUUUCGAGUUCCCUGUUAAACAAGAAUAAAGAAUAAACAAACAAUAAUACAAUCUACUCAAACACAUCAACUUUUGAGCAAAUACAUGAACGACAGUUAAUGGCGGUAGCUUUAACCUGAUUUUCCUCCAAUACUUGAACGACAUCAGGAAGAUGACAUAACCUGCUACAUUCGCCAGGAAAAUCAGAUUCUGCACAAACAAUGUUAAAUGCCAUUUCUCGUAGUAAAUCAUGCAUUUCUAGCUCGUCGUCAUCAGUUACAGUUAUGAGACCCUUAUCAAUGAGCGUUCUUAUAUCGGACUCCACAAACCGACCAUAUAAGCAAUCUAAUAUUGUUAUUGCUUCGUAUAGCUCCAGUACUCUUGUGAAGAAAUGUGCUAUGUCAAGAAAUAUGGAUUUUUGUUCUGAAUCCAACCCAUCGUAACUAAUUCUCAAUGCCCUUUCGAUUUGAGGGUCCUGAUCUAGUUUAUUCAAUGCACUGCGCCAUUCUUCGAUGCUUUUACCAUAGAGAGAGGAACCCAAAACUUUAAGAGCCAACGGAUUGCCUUGUACAUGCCUUUCAAUCUGUUCUAUCAAGUGUCUUUGAUCAAUUGUGGGGAUGUAUUUCUUCAAGGCUUUCGAUCUAAAGAGUUGAAUAGCGUCUUCAUAGUUCAACCCCUUAACCUCGUAUGUUUCAUCAACUACAUUCUUGAGCACUUGUUUGUCCCUACUUAUUAUGAGAACUUUACUGAAUGGACCAAAUGAACUGUUUCGUCCAUCAAACAAAUCUCUCCAUUCAUCCAAAAGCAUUAAAUAAUCCACAUCAUCCAGAACAAGCAAAGCCCUUAUGCGACGAAGUCUAUCCCUCACAAAGGAAUCUCGAAAACUCAAGUAGCCCAUAGUGUUCAGAGUUUCUUUGCCAAGCAACCGUUUAAGAAAUUUUCCUCGCAAAUCAGAUUGUUGCCUAAAGUUUCCAAAAAAGAUUCUUUCAAAUCGAGAACGAACCUUGUUGCACACAACUUCAGCAAUCGUUGUCUUACCGAUACCACCCAUACCCCAUAUCCCUACAAUGAGAACAUCUGGAGACUCCAUAUCCAACAAAGACUCAACUUCGCUAACAUGAACAUCAAUUCCAAAUAGACCCGUAGUGUGACAUGGCAUGAAAGAAGACAUGGCAUGCAAUUUUUUCAAAACAUCUCCAAUGAUUUUCUCUAUAAAUUCAGACUCCAACCUGACAAACAAGAAGAAACAUAUAAACAUACUCACUCCUUAGUAGCAGCAAGCACGUAUGAGUAAUUGAGCAUUAUUAUUGGCAAUGAAAUGCAAUAAUACAGAUGAUGUUUUCUCAUAUCAUCUUAUCUUAUAGAAUCAUCUCAAUCAAUAUUAUUUUCUAAUAUAGCAUUAUCCUUUUCACCUCAAAUAAAUAGAAUAUUAUUUAAGAACAGAAGAAAACAUUAACUGUCCUCCUAAAAUUUAAAGUAAGGAUUCCCAAGUAUCUACUUUUUAAUUGUCUCCUAAAACUCAGGUAUUCAAAAAAUAGUAAUGAUUAUAUUUUUAAAAAAUAUUAUGUUUGAUAUAAAUAUAUUAAAAUAAUCUAAAAACAUGAAAAAUAAUAAUUUAAAAUAAAGAGAAUUAUUUAAAAAAAAAUUAAAAGAUUUUGAAACACAAAAACAAAAAAAUACUUAAUAUCAAUACAAACCUUAAUAUAUAUACAAGCAUUUCACUACAAAUAAUUUGUUAUUUAUUUUUUUAAAAAAAAUAUAUUUAAUAUAAACAUAUCAAACUAACACAAAAACACUAAAACAAUUAAUUUUUAAAAAAAUCUUUUAAAACACAAAAACAACAACCACUUAAUAUCUAUACAAACAUUUCGCUACAAAAAUUUAAAACACAAAAACAAAAACAAACAACCAUUUAAUAUUUAUACAAACAUUUCGCUACAAAUAAUACUUUUUUAUUUUUUAAAUAGUUUUAAUUUAAACACAUUAAAAUAAUCUAAAAACAUUAAAAAAAAAUUUAAAACAAAAACAAAUAUUUUAAUACACAGAGCAACCAACCACAUAAUAAUAUCUACAGAAGUGUUUCGCUACAAUGUUUUCAAAAUCAAAUAAAAUAAAUAUGGAUUCACGGAUCUCAUCAUUCUCAAUAAUUUUAAAUUAAAUUUAAAAUCCUCAACAAAUGAACGAAUAUUUUCUCAUGGGAUAUAUUUCAAGAGCUUACUCAGAAAUCCCUAAGCUCGAUCCAGAUAGAUUGGCUGCAUCCGUCAAAGCGUCUCUGAAGCUCUGCACUUCUUCCAACGUCAGAGCUUUAUUCCUUAUAAGUGUAGCAAAUGCAUCCCCAAAGCUUCCUGUUUGAUGUCUUACAUGGGUUGGAUCCACCUUGUAGAAUACUGGAAUAACUAUCUGUCCAUUGUUUUUUCUACACUCAAAAAUCUUUACAAGCUCCUCCAAGCACCAUUUGGAAGAUGCAUAGUUUUCAGAAAAAACAAUCAAAGAAAGCUUGGCCUCUUCAAUUGUUCUCAGAAGUGAUGCCGAAAUCUCAUCUCCUCUCACAAGCUGAUCAUCUAUGAAAGUUAGGAGUUGUUUCCGUUUCAAAGCAGCAUGGAGGUGGCUGGUAAAACCAACACGAGUGUCUUCUCCCCUGAAACUAAGGAAGACAUCAUAUUUAAUUCCUUGUGGCUGGGCGGUGGUUAAGGUGGAAGGAGUAGAUGGUGAUGGAGAUAUAUGACGGUUUCGUAUGAUGAAUCUCCAGAUAUAAGCAAACACUUCGAAGAAAUAAGAGUAAUUAGACUCUGGUGGUAAGGUAGGCAUGGAGGGAGAGAGCGGAAGUAACUCAAGGAAAAAUGAUGAGGCUGAUUUUGAAUCAGUAGCUUAGG
rnacentral:lncRNA from 1 species